GGGUGUUUAGGGGCUGUUUAAGAGGUGUAUUAAUUGAUUCCUAUACUAUUUUUUAAUUUAAUUUAAUUUAGGUCCCUUAAUCAUGCCCUCAAGGCCCUAAAAAUACAAUAGAAAUACUCCGGGACUUAAUUGAAAAAAUUUAGAAAGUUUAGGAAAAAGUUAGAAAAAUUUAUAUUGUAGGGGUCACACGGUCGUGUGACUCACACGGAAGAGACAUACGUCUGUGUCUCAGGCCGUCGAAAUAUGGACACACAGCCGUGUCCCUACCCGUGUCUGUGCCCGUGUAACUCACUGACUUGGGUCACACGGCCAAGCCACACGCCUGUAUGCCAGGCCGUGUGCUAGGCCCUGCAACUUUAAAAAAAAACAACCAUUAACAACUUACAUGGGACACACGGCCAUGUCGCCUAACCGUGUGUCACACACGGUUGAGACACACAACCGUGUUUUAGGCCGUGCAGACAAGAAAUAAGCCUAAAUCAACCCUUUUCUUUCACCCAAUUUCAACAAGUAGCAUUACGCGAAAUGAACCUAUAAUCAAGGCACCAAAACAUGCCAAAAUAUGCAUAAUAAGACCAUUUCAAUAUACUAUAAGUCCAUUCAACCAAUAUACUAUUUAGGCACCUUAAUCACACCCAAACGUUUAUCAUUUAGGCACCUCAAUCACACCCAAAAAUUCAUACUUACAUUUUCAUCGAAAUGGUCAUGUUUCAUCUAAACAACCUUAACUAAAUUACAUAUCAACACAUAACCUAAUUGACCACAUUUCAAACAUGCAAACACAUACUACUUUGGUCAUUUAACCCAUGCAUCAAUUUGGUAAUAGAAACACCAAUCAUGAAGACAACAAAUGCCAAAAGCUCACCAACCAUAUUACCAUAUUUACAAGCCAAACAUAACAACUAGUUCAUCAACACAAGUUCACCUAUACAUGCCAUUAUAACCUUGAUCAAUAUAUCAAAUCGAUUGACAUAAUUGCUGGAGAGUGUGAUAGAUCUCUGACAAGCUUCCAACUCGACCGAGCUUCUGAUAAUCUGUAAAGUAAAGGAAAAUAACCACGUAAGCAAUGAAUGCUUAGUAAGCUCCAAUAAACUUUAAACAUAACCUUCCAUUUCAACAAUUAACUUAAUAGAUUAAAUAUAAACCUAUAUCAAUGCCUUAUGAUUUAUCGACUACAUAACUAUCUUCUUAUAAAUGAGUAAGUCUAUCAACAUCAUAUAUAUAUUUUUCAUUCCUAACAUCAUAAGAUUUUAUAAAUCAUUAUAUACCAUCAUUAACUUUUUCAUAAAACUAUGAAUUACUUCCUUUACUUACUUUCCAUUUCAUUUACUAAGCAUAAACUUAAAUAAUAACAUCAAUUCACUAGUUAAUAUAUUUAUUCACAUCAUAGGUAAGUUCAUCCAUAGCAUAUGUAAUUUCUCAUAUAUAAAUACAUCAUUCAAUUCAUCAAUCCAUUUUUCAUCAUAUCACAUUUCAAUAAUGAACUUACUGUUUCAUUACCUUUUCUUACCCAUUUCAUUUGUUUAGUACUAGAUAUAAGCAUAAACAUCAAUCAUAAUCUCAAGCUUGACAUAAGCCUAAUCACCAUCAUCAAUACACAAGUUAGUGCAUUUAUGAGUAUAACUCAUUUGGGGUUAAUCACAUGAUAAACCAUUUUAUUAAAAAAUACUCCUUUUGAAUCUUACCACCUUUUCAUGAACAUAAGCAUAUUUCCAUUUGGCCACUUACCAUUUCAAUGUAUAUAAUUAAUAUUAAACAUGAUAUAAUGCAACCAUAACCUUAGCACAAACCUAAGCAUCAUCCACAAUCUCAACUGAUGAAUUUAUUUAUGCUAAGAUCAAUAUUCAAGAAAUAAACAAAUCUUUCAAAUUCAUUAAACAAAUUACCUUACCGAGAUUUUUCAUUCGAAGAACGACUUACGGAUAAGAGUACAUCAUCAGAUCAACCAAACACACCAGACAAAAGCUCAUAAGAGCUAAUCCAACCGAAACACCAAAUAGAAGCUCAUAAGAGUUGAUCCAACCGAAUCGCCAAACAGAAGCUCAUAAGAGCUGAUCCAAUCGAAACACCAAACAGAAGCUCAAAAGAGCUGAUCCAACCGAAACGCCAAAUAGAAGCUCAUAAGAGCUGAUCGAAUCGAAAUGCCAAACAAAAGCUCAUAAGAGCUGAUCCAACUGAAACGCCAAAUAGAAAGUAUAACACGAGAGCUUGCAACAAAUGUUGAACCUCGUUUUACUUGGGUAAUAAAUAGAUAUCUCCCUCCAAUUUCAUCUCCACUCCGAUCCCCUAUAACAUACCAAAUCAUGAUCGUAUCCUAAUCCCGCAUUCAAUCCAAACCGAGUAUCAAAUUCAAUAUUAUAACUCAAAUUACCAUUAAUUAUCAACAAUUAAAAAAAACACAAGUUGUACCAUGUUAAUCUACUCAAAAAUUCAUAUUGAUGUUAAAUUCUAACUAUAUGAACUUACCUGGCCAAAUAGUAGAAAUGUCAAAGUAUAGGGGCUAUUUGGUAAUUUUCUAUUCUCCUCGAUUUUUCACUCGAUCUUGACCUAAAUUAAUAAUUUCAUUCAAUUAAUUAAUUUAGAUAUUAAAAAAUUUAUUUUAUGCAAUUUAGUCAUUUUUAAAAUUUUUACAAAAUUGCCAUCAACUUUUCAUUUUUAUUCAGUUUGGUCCCUGAGCCUAAAACAUGAAAAUUAACCAUUUUUAUUGUAAAUUAAUAAUAUUUGAAUAUUUAUGGAAUCCAAUAAAGCCAUUUAUGUAACAAUUUCACAACAAAUCAUUUUUUUACUAUUUUAACAAUUUAGUCCUUAAUCAAAAAAUUCAUUAAAAUUACUUAACAAAAUACUUUUAAAUAUCAACCAACAUUUCAAAUUCAUCAUUAAAUAACUAAAAUAACAUAGAUUCAUAAAUGGAAACAUUCAAUGUCUUUAACAGUUUCAAAAUCGAAGGUACGAGCUUGCUGGACCUAGUUGCAACGAUCUAAAAAACAUAAAAAUUUAAAGAAACGGGUGAAAAAUGGCUUACCAUGCAUAGAUAUAGCCAUAGUCGAAAAUUUCUCAUCUUUCAUGGAGUUUUCUUCUUUCAAUCACGAUGGAACUUGAUUUUGGAAGAUGACAAUCAAUUUUCAUCUUAUUUUACUAAUUAUUUCUUUAAUAAAUUACCAAUUUACCAUUCAAUUAUACAUGCAUUUUCAACCUAUUUCAUGCUUUAGCUGUCCACUCAUUUAUAAUAUGGUAUAUUUACCACAUUAUUUUAUUUAAUUACCUUUUGUUAGCUAUUCAACACCUUUAAUUAAUAGAAUUCAACUUUUACAUCUUUUACAAUUUAGUUCUUUUUAAUCAAUUAACUAUCGAAACAUUAAAAUUUCUUAACGAAACUUUAAUAUGACCUUAAUGACACUCCGAAAAUAUUUAUAAAAACAUUUAUGGUUAGAUUUAUAGAAACGAGGUCUCGAUACCUGAUUUUCUAAAACCACUUGACCUUAGGAUCUUACGACUUGAACUUAAUUAAUCAUUUGAAUAGCAUAGUUUACCAUAUCAAAAACCUUUUAAAAACUAUAAGUGACUCAUAAAUAUUAAAUAAUAAUAUUUACAAACUUACUUAUUGGAUUUGUGGCCCCGAAACCACUAUUUUCGACACCAUUGAAAAACGGCUUGUUACAACUCUCCCCUCCUUACGAUAAUAGCCAUCAAGUUGAGUCAUAACUUUAUCAUCAGUAAUAUCGAGAAAUUUCCAACAAUCAUCUGUCGAAACAUAAAUGAAAAAAAUCUAGAUUAUAGGAUUCCAGGCACAUUAGACAAUUCAUAGCAUUUAACUAAAGUUCAAAAUUUUCACAACAGACUCUAACUGAUGUUUUCGACGCAUCUGCAUCGUAACUUUUAACCGAUGAACGUUCCAUUUCACGAAAAACUUCAAACAAUAUCAUCUGAAUACAAGUGUGAUAAUUGUUACUAUCAAGAUGAUUUUAUCCCAUAAUGACAUUUCCCAAUUAUAACUUAUCUAAUAGAUAUGUUUCUGUAACAUGUCUUUUAGAAUAUGAAUCCCUUAUUCUAACUGUCCAUCAAUUUACCCGUGAACUCGAAUAUAUAUAACUUGAUAUUAUCAAUCAAAUAAUAACAUUUCAGAAUAAUUCUUUCCUUUUAUUGACAAGAUAAUCCAAAUAUACUGUCUAUCAUACUUUCCUCAGAAUAUCGACCAAAGAUUACUACAAACUGCAUUAACUUACUCAAAAUAUGACUUCCUACUUUGACUCGUUGACAUAAUCUGAAUUUACCUGAGUAAUGAGAACCAAUAUGCAAGGUUAAGCUUAACCUUUUAUCGUCUAUACUUUUGUCGUUACCUAUCCCCUUCAUGAAAGCUAGAAAUGGGAUAUAUAAUGAAAGUAUUUCAAUUGUUAACAUCGGAGCUUUGAACCAUACCGAAGCUAUAACCAUCAGAUGAAAUAAAAACAUAAUGCUAUAAUAAAACCGGUGUUACAAUCGUAUAGAUAGAACAAUACCUCAACCAUCAAUAGUGCACUUUGAAAUAAAAUAGGAAAACUGAAUGUAGUUUGAAUAAUAACCAGUGCAGUAAUACAAUCUCUAUAAUCUAAGAUCCAUAUCACUGUGCUCCCAUGAUCGAACCAGGGAUUAUAACCGUAAUAGAUGUAAUUACCUCCAGCCAAUGAAUAUCCUUUAUACAUGAACCAUGUUUGAUAGAAUAGACCAUAAGAAUGAUAAGAAAACUGAGAUAAUGAAAUCCAAGAUAUGGAGCUCUACAAAAUUUCUGAGAAUAUAACCCAUAUUGAAUGAUAAAGAGAUCGAUGAUAUCCUAGAAAGAAUCUAGAAAAAGAAUACCAUUCAUACGCACUGGAAUCAGUUGUGACAGAGACAACAUAAAUUGCAUAUAUAUAAUUCAAAGCAUCAACCAGUAGAAGAAACAAAAUAACAUCAUAUGAGUCUUAUCGUUGAAUAUGCUACCAAACAUAAUAGAAUAGAAUGCUAAAGAAAAAUAUAGCAAUGUCAAUCAUAAUCAACUAGACUAACAAUACUUCCAUCUAGCAUUAUGGUUAACUAGCAUUCUCUUAUGAUAAAAUCACAUUUGAAGAUGAACAAUUGCAUAUGCCUCUGAGGAGAAAAGAACCUAUAGAAUACCCAGAAAAUAUCAUUGUAAGUUACUUGGCCAUACCCGCUGCAUCUAGAUACAUUUGCAGUUCAAAUACUAUCCCACUGACUACUAAAAUCAUUGAUGACUCUACCUUAUCCCAUUUCACUAAAGAAAUCAAUUCAAAACAAAUCUCGAUUAACCUGUUCUUUAGAUACCAUACCUGAUGAAGUCAUUUACCCGUGAAUCAUUUCUUCUAUAAUAGCGAUGUUGUGUAUCCCGAAUGAUUUUCAGAAAAGAAAUCUAAUAUCUCUUCUAGAACUCUCUUUACUUACUAACCAAUUCUCAACUCUGACCGUAGUAUUACUAAUCCAAUCAUUGAAUUCUUCAGCUUCUCUUUUGCAGACUUAAUCAACAUAAUUAUUGUAAAUUCUGUUGUAUAAGACUAUGUAGGUGAGGGGGUAGAGAUCGUAAAGCCUCUAAGUUUGACUCUCAAGAAUACACAUUACAUAACAUUCAUUAUCAAUAUAACAUUAUGAACUUUUUCUCUUACCUUUAUGAGUUUCUACUAAUCCAAAGUAACUUUUUAAUUAGAUACUUGAGUAUCACUUUUAGCAUUACCGAAAUUAGCUAGGUUGGAAAAUAUCUCUUUCUAAAAUGAAACAAAUCUCAUCAGAGUCAGGAGAUAUCACACUAUCAUGGGUUAUAUAAUGACAUGUAUUUAUAGACUUUAUACAUGCUACGUUCAACCCAAGAACUGACUAAACCGUAACUCUGAUACCACUAAAUGUAACACCUCUAACCUGUAUCCAUUGCCAGAAUAGGGUUACGAGCACUACUGAAUAAAUGAAAUAGUAAACCAUUUAUUUCAUACAUCAAUGCAAUACAUAUUCUAAUUUCAUUCAAAUACAUUCAUAACGUCCCUUAAUCGAGCCCUCGAGGCCCUAAAAAUACAGUAGAAACAGUCUGGGACUAAAUUGAAAAAAUUUAGAAAGUUUAGGAAUAAGUUAGAAAAAUUUAUACUGCAGGGGUCAUACGGCCGUGUGGUUCACACGGUUGAGACACAUGUCCCUGUCUCAGGCCAUGUAACAACCGGAAUAGUGACACAUAGCUGUAUCCCUGCCCAUGUUCGUGCCCGUGUAACUCGCUAACUUGGGUCACACGGCUAAGCCACACGCCCGUGUGCUUAGGGUGUAACUCUUGAAAUGGCCUCACACGCCCGUGUGCCAGGCCGUGCAACUUAAAAAAAACAACCUUUAACAACUUACAUGGGACACAUGGGCAUGUCACCUGAUUGUGUCUCACACAUGGCUCAGACACAUGCCUGUGUCUUAGAUCGUGUAGACAAGAAAUAGGCCAAAAUCAACCAUUUUCUUUCACCCAAUUUCAACAAGUACCAUUACGCGAAAUGAACCUAUGAUCAAGGCACCAAAACAUGCCAAAAAAUGUAUAAUAAGACCAUUUCAAUAUACUAUAAGUCUAUUCAACCAAUAUGCCAUAUAGGCACCUCAAUCACACCCAAACAUUCAUGAUUUAGGUACCUCAAUCACACUCAAACAUUCGUACUUACAUUUGCACCAAAAUGAUCAUCUUUCAUCCAAACAACCUUAACUAAAUCCCAUAUCAACACAUAACCUAAUUGACCAUAUUUCAACCAUGCCAACACAUACCACUUUGGCCAUUUAACCCAUUCAUCAAUUUGGUAAUAAAAACACCAAUAAUCAAGACAACAAAUGGCAAAAGCUCACCAACCAUAUUACCAUGUUUACAAGCCAAACAUAAUAACUAGUUCAUCAACACAAGUUCACCUGUACAUACCAUUAUAACCUUAAUCAGAAUAUCAAAUCUACCCAUAUGAUCACUGGAUAGUGUGAUAGAUCUCCGAAAAGCUUCCAACCUGAUCGAGCUUCCGAUCAUCUGUAAAGGAAAGUAACUACGUAAGCAAUGAAUGUUUAGUAAGCUCCAAUAAACUUUAAACAUAACCUUCCAUUUCAACAAUUAACUUAUUAGAUUAAAUAUAAACCUAUACCAAUGCCUCAAGAUUUAUCGACUACAUAACCAUCAACUCAUAAAUGAGUAAGCCUAUCAACAUUAUAUAUAUUUUUCAUUCCUAACAUCAUAAGAUUUUAUAAAUCAUUAUACACCAUCAUUAACUAUUUCAUAAAACUAUGAAUUACUUCCUUUACUUACUUUCCAUUUCAUUUACUAAGCAUAAAAUUAAAUAACAACAUCAAUUCACUAGUUAAUAUAUUUAUUCACAUCAUAGGUAAGUUCAUCCAUAACAUACGUAAUUUCUCAUAUAUAAAUACAUCAUUCAAUUCCAAUCCCUUUUUCAUCAUAUCACAUUUCAAUAAUGAACUUAUUGUUUCAUUACCUUUCCUUACCCGUUUCAUUUGUAUAAUACCAAACAUAAGCAUAAACAUCAAUCAUAAUCUCAAGCUUGACAUAAGUCUAAUCACCAUCAUUAAUACACAAGUUAGUGCAUUUAUGAAUAUAACUCAUUUGGGGUCAAUCACAUGAUAAACCAUUUUAUUAAAAAAUACACCUUUUGAAUCUUACCACCUUUUCACGAACAUAAGCAUAUUUCCAUUUGGCCACUUACCAUUUCAAUGUAUAUAAUUAAUAUUAAACAUGAUAUAAUGCAACCAUAAGCUUAGCACAAACUAAGCAUCAUCAAAAAUAUCAACUGAUGAAUUCAUUUAUGUUCAGAUCAAUAUUCAAUAAAUAACAAAUAUUUCAAAUUCAUUAAACAUAUUACCUUACCAAGAUUUUCCAUUCGAAGAACGACUUACGGAUAAGAGUACAUCGUCAAAUCAACCAAAUACAGCAGAUAGAAGCUCAUAAGAGUUGAUCCAACCGAAACACCAAAUAGAAGCUCAUAAGAGCUAAUCUAAUCGAAUCGUCAAACAGAAGCUCAUAAGAGUUGAUCCAAUCGAAACACCAAAUAGAAGCUCAUAAGAGUUGAUUUAAUCGAAAUGCCAAACAAAAGCUCAUAAGAGCUCAACGAAUCGAAAUGCCAAACAGAAGCUCAUAAGAGUUGAUCCAACUGAAAUGCCAAACAUAAAGUAUAACACGAGAGUUCACAACAAAAGGUGAACCUCGAUUUACUUGGGUAAUAAACAAAUAUCUCCCUCCAAUUCCAUCUCCACUCCGAUCCCCCAUAACACACCAAAUCACGACUGUACUCUAAUCCCCUGUUCAAUCCAAAUCGAGUAUCAAAUUUAAUAUUAUUAAUUAUCAAUAAUUAAAAAUAAAUAUAGAAUUUUUACCAUGUUAAUCUACUCAAAAAUUAAUAUUGAUGUUAAAUUCUAACGAUACAAACUUACCUGGCCAAAUCGCAGAAAAGUCAAAGUAUAGGGGUUAUUUCGUAAUUUUUCAUUCUCCUGGAUUUUCCACUGGAUCUUGAUCUAAAUUAAUAAUUUCAUUCAAUUAAUUAAUUUAGAUAGUAAAACAAUUUAUUUUAUGCAAUUUAGUCAUUUUUUACAUUUUUACAAAUUUGCCCUCAACUUUUCAUUUUUAUUCAAUUUAAACCUUGAGCCUAAAACAUGCAAAUUAACCAUUUUCAUUGAAAAUUCAUGAUAGAUGAAUACUUAUGGCAUUUAUGCAGCAGUUUCAGAACAAAUCCUUGUAUUUUUACUAUUUUAACAAUUUAGUCCCUAAUCGAAAAAUUCAUUAAAAUUAUUUAACAAAAUACUUUUAAAUAUCGACCAACAUUUCAAAAUCAUUAUUAAAUAACUUAAAUCACAUAGAUUCAUCAAUGGAAAUAUUCAAUAUCUUUAACAAUUUAGAAAUCGAAGGUACGGGCUUUUUGGAAACGAUCUCACAAACAUAAAAAUUUAAAGAAACGGGUUAAAAAUGGCUUACCAUCCAUAGAUAUAGCCAUAGCAAAACCUUGCUCAUCGUCCAUGGAAUUGUCUUCUUUCAAUUAUGGUGGAACUUGAUUUUGGAAGCUGACAAUCAAUUUUUAUCUUAUUUUACUAAUUAUUUCUUUAUUAAAUUAUUAAUUUACCCUUCAAUUAUACAUGCAUUUUCAACAAAUUUCAUGCUUUAACCGUCCACUCAUUUAUAAGAUGGUAUAUUUACCAUAUUAGUCUAUUUAACUACCUUUCCUUAGCUAUUUCGCACCUUUAAUUAAUAGAAUUCAACUUUUUUUAAUCUUUUAAAAUUUAGUCUUUUUUAAUCAAUUAAAUAUCGAAACAUUAAAAUUUCUUAACGAAACUUUAAUACCACCUUAAUGACACACUGAAAAUAUUUAUAAAAAUAUUUACAGCUUGAUUUAUAGAAACGAGGUCCCAAUACUUAAUUUUCUAAAACCACUUGACCUUAAGGUCUUACCACUUGAACUUAAUUAAUCAUUCGAAUAGCCUAAUUUAUCAUAUCAAAAACCUUUUAAAAACCAUAAUUGACUCGUAAAUAUUAAAUAAUAAUAUUUACGAACUAACUCGUUGGAUUUAUGGUCCCAAAACCACUAUUUCUAACACCACUGACAAACAAACUAUUACAUUUUGGAAGUUUUUAAAGUUUAAAAUGGUAUCAAUUAAUCAUAAAUUAAAUAAAAAAAAAGUUAAACAUCAUCAUCUUCAUUUCUUAACUCAACCAUAAAUACACCAUUGGAGAUAGCUACGGUUCAGCCAAGCAUUGUCUCACUUGCAUGGUAUGUAGUUUUGUCCCGUUUUUAAUGAUUUUUAUGCUUCUGGGAUUCUUUCAGCUGAAUCUAGCUAGCGCUGGGAUCAAUUUGUAAAACUAUUAAGGGUUGAGAGUUAUGCCAUUAAUGUUCUUGAAUUUUUUUUUGAUGUUAAAUGGUAUAUUAUGAACCUUUGUUUAGAAAUAAACAGGUUUUGUAAAGUGAUUUUUGAUGAAAUUUACAUUUACGGAUUGAUUAUAGAAAUAAUAAAAGUUCAUGUUAAAUUUAUGAAAUGAUAAUUUAUUUGGGUUAGUUUAAGUCCCUAAAGAAUUCGGUUAGCCUAUAAGAGGGAUUAAAAUGCUUAGAUUUCAAUUUAUGAGCUUAAGGACUAAAUUGUGAAAAGUAAAAAUAUAAGGGGUAAAAUGGUAAUUUUUCAUAAAUAUGAAAUGUGGACUAAAUUGAGUACUACAAAUAUUAAAUAGAUUGAAAUUUUCUAUUUAGAUCAAGAUAAACCAUGUACGGACCUAGAUCGAAGUAAUGCAAAAGCUUCUGAUUAGCUCGAUAUAACCUUCACGCCCUAGUUGUCAAGGUAAGUUCGUAUGAACAGUUAUCAUAUUAAUGUUGUUUAAUUUGAAUGUUUACUAUGUUAUUUUUAAUGUAAAUGGAUCGAUGUAUAAUCGUAUUAAUGUUAUGAUGAAUUGGCGGAUGUUGAGUCCCGGUCGAACCUUAGGAAUUCGCGGGAUACAAAUGACAUGUCAUCAGAGAUUUUAUGUUUCUGGUGUUGGUCUUAAAUAUCCUACUGAUGGCUGAGGUCCUGCAUUUGUUGCUAAUUCUCCAAAGCUCGUGUAGCUUACAUUCCGACCCACAGCUCAUGUGAGCAGGCCCAUUUCAUAGCUCGUGUGAGCAAUGAUGUAAAGGAAGGGUUAUGAUUAUAUGUAAAGGCACACUUCGUGUGAGCUUUCUCGAGUAUCUAAUGAAAUUCUAGAUAGAUUAACGGGUCUGAAAAGGAAAUGAAAGGGUAAGUGUUCAAAUGGAAUGUAUCACGAACUUAUGAAAAGGAAAUGAUAGUCUAAAUGAUGUGAGUAAAUAUGUAAGUUACUUGUUAUAGAUGAAUUCAUUUGAACAAUGUAUAAAUGCACUAACUUGUAUACUUAAUAAUGUUGUAUAGGAAUUAUUUCAGGCUUAUGGUUUUAGUUGGUAUUACACUUAUGCUAUUUACAUUAUGCAAAUGAAAUGGUAAGGUGUGUUAAAGUUAUACGAGCUUACUAAGCAUUAAGUGCUAACGUAGUUUCUUUCCUGUGCUUCAUAAAUUAUUAGAAGCUCGACCGAUUUGGAUACUUGUCGGAGACCUAUGUUUCAUAAAUUAUUAGAAGCUCGACCGAGUAUGAAAGAGAAUUUGUGUGACUUAGCAAAUAUGCUCGAGAAUGUGUACCAACAGAGAUUGCUAUGUGCACUCAGUUUGAAGAUGGUCUAAAUGAGGAUAUCAAGCUAUUAGUCAGGAUUCUUGAGUUAAAAGAAUUUGUAGUUUUAGUUUAUAGAGCAUACAAGGCUGAAGAACUCAGCAAAGCAAAAAUAAAAGCAGAUUCAGAGACUCUUGGUACAGGAAAACGACCUAUGGAAAAAUCAUUCUCAUCUCCAUCGAAGAAAUCAAAAGAAUUACAUAGUCAUUCAUCAGCUUCGGUGGGUUAUUCUGGGUAAGAUAGAGGAAAGCAGCAUUUGAGCUCGAAACAUCAAGCUACAUCUGUAGCGAGUGUGGGUAGUGUCAGGAACAAUGAACCUAAAUGUCAGCAAUGUAAUAUACGGCACUAAGGUGAAUGUAGGUUGAAAGAUGGGUCGUGUUUUAAAUGUAGUUCUUAUGAUCAUUAUCUUAGAGAUUGCCCAGAAAGGUCUAAUAAAGAAAAGGCUCAGAAUACUCAUUCAAUUAAUAUGGCUGCAAGAGGGAGACCACAUUGGAACACUGGAAAUACGGGAAAAAGUUGAGGUGGAACAAAAGAUUGUGCUGUUAGAUACGGGCAAUGAUAUGAACCAACUCAAAGACUUAGAUGACACCAAACGGGAUCCCAUCGAGAUCCCCAUUGGUCCAAUCAUUUGAGCUCAAGCUAAACAUUUUAAAGAAUCAAUGGCGGCUCUAGUUGAACAAGCUUGGGAGAAAGCUACAAAGGAGAUGGACGACUCAACAAGAAACAUCUUCAAUUUGUUGGAAACUGAAUUCGAAUCAGCUAGCUAACUUAGCUAGCCAGACUUAGACAUCUUAAUUAUUUUAGGUCAUUUAAUUUUGUUUAAGUUUACUAUAGCUUAAUUACAUCUAUUAAAUGUGUCUUAGUCAAUUUCAUAUUUAUUUGAGUGUUUAAUUUAUGUUUAUUGAAGCUUUAAUCAUGUAUAUUUAAUUGUGUUUUUUACUGGUUGCUGGAAAGGAGUAGCUCACAUUCUUAUAUGCGUUUGAACAAACCUGAACCUAGUCGAUUCAUUGUAGCUCAUUAAAAAUUGAGCAUGCACCUGGAUUAUGCAUGAAUGUUGGGAGCUGAUUUUGAGCUAAAUAUUCAUGAACCUAGCUGAUACAUUGAAGACAUUUAAUGACGAGCAACGUACUUGAAUUGUGCAUGAACAAAGGGAGCUACUACUCAACGAAACAUACAUGUAUCUAGCCGAUACACUGAAGAUAGCUAAAGAUAGAUCAUGCACCCGAUUGUGCAUGUAUCAUGAGAGUUAGUAGGUGCAUUCCCCAGCCGAAUUAUUCAUGUACCUCAGCCAAUGAUUAUGAACUUAACAAGCUACCUUUUCAAGUGUUCAUUUGAUUCUAGCUGUUCACACAUAAAGACCAUUCGGCUGACAUCAAGUUCAUUCACCCGUUCACCUUCCAUUUGAUGCACCUACAAUCAUCAAUUCCAUUCACCGAAUCCAGCUACAUUCAGCUCACCUAUCACGCCAUGAAUCUAGACCGAUUAGCAUUGGCACUUCACCAAGUUCAUCAUUUUCAGCUGGACAUUAAUUUCUCUUAAUUAUUUGCCUUCAAUGUUUGUCUAUUUGACUGGUCACAUUUCAGCCUAUAAAUAGUUCAUUUGUAAACAUUUUGAAACAACUUUUGACAUAUAUGAAUUAUAACUUUGUGAGUUAUUCACUCUCAUUUUUCUUUGAGAUUCAACUUGACUUAUCUAGAUAAGCUAGUGGUGUCAUCCUCAUUUCUUUUCUGAACUUAUCACUCGUCCAAGUGUGAAGUUCAAACUUAUAUCGUUGGUUCCUAUCUUGCUAGAUAGUGGGUCACGGUCCUCUCCAGCUGUCGAAACCACUUUUUUGAAAAAAAACAAAAAUAGUGGUCGACUUAAAAAUAAAAAUUAGGAGUCGCCACCGAUCAUUUAUUGAGGUGUGAUCAGAUCACCUUGAAAAUAAUUUUAGGUUUGCGAAUUUUGAGAAAACAGUUUCAGGAGUCGAUUACGCACGAGGAAGGAUUGUUUUAUAUCUUAAUGUCGAAAUUUUGAAAAGAUUUUAAAAUACGAUCCUUUUAUCUUGAAUUGGAUUAUAAAGCUCUUUUAUUUCAAAGGAAUAGAUUGCCACACUUAGUAAGUUAGAGUGUAACAUUUCGAAUCCUCGAAAUUAAGUUUGUCCCUUUCAAAAAAUUUAACACGUUUUAAAAAGGAUAUUUGAUGAUUUAAGUCAAUCGAGAAAUUAGAAUCCAGUAAGUUAGGGUUUUGUUUCUCAAAAUUCUUAAACAUCAAAUAUUGCCUUUAUUUAAAAAACGAGAUAACAAAAUAUUGUACCUAGUAAGUUAGGAUCCAACAUUUUGAAAUAUAAAGAAUUUUUUUUAAAUGAUUGUAAGGUUUUAAUAAAAUGAACACUUGAUUAUCUAGUUCAUCGAGAAGAAUUGAAGCUCAGUAAGUUAGGGCACAAUUCUCUCGAAAACUUAUGAAUACCAAGCCUUUUUUAGGAGUUUUGAAAUAAGACCAUUAUAAUAUUUUAAUGAAAUGCAAUUCUUACAAAUAAUAUAAUUGAAUAACAAUACAUAAAGCAAAUGAUGAAUAGCCAACUAAAUUUACAAUAUGGAGCAACCAAACAUAUAAUGUAUCAACAUUAAUAAUCAAAUAAACUAAUAAUCAAUCUUACAAAUAGCCAAAUGAAUAAUUAAUAUAAAAUAAUUUAAUCAUAAGUAAACCAAUUAAAAUAAUAGAAAUGAAUAAAAUUUUUAAAACAUAGAAUAGAAUUUUAUAAGCUACAAGUUAUGACACAUUUUACACACACAUAUAUAUUAAAAUAAUUUCAUAUAAAUUAUACAUAUAAUAAUUGUAUACUAUCAUUGUAAAAACAAAAUGUUGAAUUAUACUCUAAAAUGUAUUGUUGAGAUAUAUAGAGUAAUAUAUAAAAUUAAAAUUAACAAUAAUUUGAAAAAUAAAAGUAUAUAAAGAUUUUGAAAAGGUUAGUGAAUUUAAAAAAUAUUGAUAAUAAUUUUACAAGAAUAAAGCAUCACAUCUUAGAAAUCAUACUAAUAAUAAGCUUAAAAAUAAUAUUAAACCAAUAAUAAAAAUAAUGUAAAAAUAAUAUAUGAAUAUAGUAUCGAAACAUCGAAUUUUAAGAAAGGAAACUAAAUUAGUAUUAAAUUUAAAUCUAUUUCAAACAUGAAGAACUGAAUCAGUAAUUAUACACAACCAUGGAGAUUACCCAAAUCGAAUCAUAGAAACGGCACCGUUUGAACUAGGACCUAAAUGAAUACCAAAUUAAAUGUAAGGUACAAAUGGCAAACAAAUAAAGAAAAUUGAAUCAUAAUCCCAUUGAACUCCGAGGGACCUAUUAGGAAAAUAGACCAACCAACCAGAGGACGCGGAUCCUACCCGGAUCGGGUCACCGCCUGGGUUGGGCCAUCAAACGACGCCGUUUCAGUGCCAUUGUAUGGGCUCUGAACGGCGACGUUUUAAAUCCUUCACUUAAAACUAAAAUAAACCCUAAAAAAACUAUCACCUACAUCAAAACAAAACCUGAACUAAAGCAAAAACCUUGCGCCGUUCUGUGCAUUGAGGGCAUUCAGACGGCUUUCAAACCAAGCCCGUUCUUCGAUGACAGCGAAGAGGGCUAAGAUCGCGCUACUAGGUAUGUUUCCCUCUCCUUACUGCUAAUAUUUUCUCUUUUAAACAACUAUUGAUGAACAUACAAACUAGAGACAAAAAGCCAAGAAAGGAACUAAGUAAAUAGCUAAAUAGAGAGGAAUGAAAUCCCCGAGAAUCACCUUUCUUUUUUGAUUUUUUGUAUUCUCGAGUUCUUGUAUAUUGAAUGCGUAAGGGGAAAAAUAAUACCAUCCGUUUCGGUUCUUAUAUCUUUCUUUUUUACAAAGAAUCAAAAAAUUCGAAAAAAAUAAAAAUAAAAAUAAAAAAAUCCCGUUGGUUUGCUCUCUGCUGUGUUUUGUUUGCAUUUACAGGUACGACAUACAACUAGCGUAUGGAGAUGGUGGACGUGGCACGACACAGCGCGUGUGGCGAUGGUGCACGUACAAGGGCAAUUGCUGCGGCGCUGGAUGCUGCGUUGCUGCCCUAGGGUUUCUGAUUUCUUUGGUGUUGGGUUGGGCCGAGUUAGGUUUUAGGUUAGGUAUUGGGCCACUGUAAUUGGGCCAAUCAGGUUUAGUGUUUUGGUUAUAGGCAUUUGGGCUAAUUGGGACUUUGGAUUUUGUAAUCUGGACUGAUGUUAUGGACAUUUAAAAUUUGCUUUUAUGUUGGUUUUAUUUAUUUUAUUAUUUUUUAUCGGGUCGGGAAAAUUGGGCCUAUUACAGCUGCCCCUCUUUGCUUAUUGUCGUGUAAAGGGAAUGAAGCAAAGACUAAAAAAAAACCAAUUUUUCCCGGUCGUGCUAGAUCUUGGUAGUUCUCUUCUUCGACCAGUUGCCACAUUCCAUCCUACUGCAUCUUCAGAGGUACAGGAAAUGGUGCUUUGAUCCACUCCACGGAAAUAUCAGGGAGAUAGGAUUUGUAACUCGAAACUUUUGGGAAGUAAGAUUUGCCAUUGUAGCUUCAAUCUUUUUAACUACACCGCCAGGGAAGUAAGAUUCGCCUUUGUGGCUUUUAUCUUUUUAACUGCACUGCCAGGGAAGUAAGAUUCGCCUUUGUGGCUUUAAUCUUUUUAACUGCAGUAUCGGGGAAGCAAGAUUCACCGAUGUGGCUUUAAUCUGCUCCACUGCACCGCUUGGGAGAUAAGAUCUGAAAUUCUUCGGUCUAAUCCAAUGUAAUCUCAGGGAGAUAAGACCUGAUGCGAUCUACUCAAUUGUAACUUCAGAAAGAUAAGAUCCUUUAUUUUAAUCCGCUCCACUGUAAUCUCAGGGAGAUAAGAUUACUAGCUUUAAUCUGUUCCGCUGUAAUCUCAGGGAGAUAAGAUUUCUGGCUUCAAUCUGAUGCGAUCUACUCUACUGUAACUUCCGAGAGAUAAGAUCCUUUAUUGUAAUCCGCUCCACUGUAAUCUUAGGGAGAUAGGAUUACUAGCUUUAAUCUGCUCCGCUGUAAUCUCAGGGAGAUAAGAUUUCUGGCUUCAAUCUGAUGCGGUCUACUCUACUGUAACUUCAGAGAGAUAAGAUCCUUUAUUUUAAUCCGCUCCACUGUAAUCUCAGGGAGAUAGGAUUACUAGCUUUAAUAUGCUCCGCUGUAAUCUCAGGGAGAUAAGAUUUCUGGCUUCAGUCUGAUGCAAUCUACUCUACUGUAACUUCAGAGAGAUAAAAUCCUUUAUUGUAAUCCGCUCCACUGUAAUCUCAGGGAGAUAGGAUUACUAGCUUUAAUCUGCUCCGCUGUAAUCUCAGGGAGAUAAUAUUUCUGGCUUCAAUCUGAUGCGAUCUACUCUACUGUAACUUCAGAGAGAUAAGAUCCUUUAUUUUAAUCCGCUCCACUGUAAUCUCAGGGAGAUAGGAUUACUACCUUCAAUCUGCUCUGCUAUAAUCUCAGGGAGAUAAGAUUUCUAGCUUCAAUCUGAUGCAAUCUACUCCACUAUAACUUCAGAGAGAUAAGAUCCUUUAUUUUCGAUUAGGAAAUCUUCGGUCUAAUCCACUGUAAUCUCAGGGAGAUAAGACCUUGGCUUAAAUCUGCUUCCUUACACUUGAAGAUGAAAUUGGCUGUCUUUGAUCUGCUCCACUAUUGCUCAGGGAGACAAGAUCUGUAAUUUCCAGAUAUGUUCUCUGGGGAACAUGACCUGUAUAAUGAACCUAAUUAUGCCUAAUGAUUAGGAUGACAUGAUCAAAAUGAAUCAAAUGCUUCUAACUAGACAUGUUAAUAGUGUUUGCAUGAAUGCGGAUUUUUAUUUUUUGAGAAUGAUCCCGCUUAGGUUGUCAUUAAUCGAAAUUUAUUAAGGCUUUGUGAAUGACGUGCUACAACGCCUUCUCGCUUGACCAACUUUUCUGAAAACAUUUAACCAGGUUGCCCCCCACUGUAAACCUUAAAGUUUAAUCCAUUAGGGUGCACAAUUUAUGCCAUCAUUCUCCCACUGCAAUCCAAGGGUAGCAAUAUGUGGUUUUUUCUCAAUCCUUCCCUAUCACAAUUUAAGGAUACCGGAUCUUAAUCUUUCUGGUCCCCUUACACCAUUUCCAGGGUGUUGUACCAGAGACUUAUGCGCAAAAGAAGGCUCUCAUCUCCGAGGUAACCUCUUCCUAUUACCUAAUGAUCAUCGCUUGCUUGUUUAUUUAAGCUUUAUCAUUAACCCGUCAUCUUAUCAUUUUGUUCAAUCAAUGCAUUUGACAACAAAAUCCAAAGAGAAAGUCCAAAUUUAGACUCUUCCUUCUCAAAUUUCCAACCUUUAAACCUGGUGUGUUCUAAACAAUAGUCCUGUUUCAGGUUCCUAUAUUAUUUAGAAACUUUUUAGAGUAAUAUGCAAAAUGUCCUUUAUGAAAGUUUUAUUAGUUCAUUAAUCAUUAUUCCAAUGCAACACACUUGCAAAAAUGGUCAUAGCAAUAGAUAAGGAUAAAGUUAGUUCUGGGCAUAACUCAAAAUGAAUAAAUUAUCACAAAUAGUAAAGAAGGAUAAUAAAGAAGUUGAUUGGGAAUGUAUAUCUUGGAAAAGAAAAGAAGUAUUCCAAGAACAACAAAUUCAAUAUAAAUAAUAGGAGAAUUGGGUGCCCCAGAUAUCGCAGCUUGAACUACUCUGUACAAACUUUCUAAAGGACAUUCUCAGUUUGACAUGUGUUUAGGAGAUCUACAGUGCUUUGUCGAUGCCCCAAGAUGUCACCUAUCCCUUCCUGUUGAUUCAGGCAUAGCAAGAUUGCCAUACGCCCCGAUCUGAUCAAGAUACAAGCUGCUCUAAACACGUCAUGCCCCAUUCUAAUCAAGAUACAAGCUGCUCUAAACACUUCAUGCCCCAUUCUGAUCAAUAUUUGAGCCACCCUUUUCGAGUUUUCAACUCAAAUCCCCUUUUGCCUAAUGUGCCCUUUACGGGUUUUCCCCUUAGCCUCUCCAUUUUUACUUUUUCAUCAUCAUUUUUUUAGGAACCAAAGCGCCUUUUGCGGGUUUUCACUUUGAUCCCUUUCCUUCAAGUGAAGUAUUUCUUGACUGAGUCUGAGUUUACAGGAUUUGGAAAGUUUUUUCCAUCCAUUUCACUUAGAAUCAAAGCUCCACCAGAAAAGGCCUUCUUUACGACAUAAAGACCCUCCCAAUUUGGCGUCCAUUUUCCUCUAAAGUCUUUUUGUAUAGGGAGAAUUUUAUUCAACACCAGAUCCCCUUCAUGGAAUUAUCUGGGACGAACAUUUUUGUUAUAAGCUUGCAUCAUCCGUUUUUGAUACGUAUGACCAUGUUGGAUGGCUCUCAACCUUUUCCCUUCUAUUAAGUUCAACUGGUCGUAUCGAGACUGAACCCAUUCUGCCUCAUCAAAUUUCAAUUCAGCUAAUACCCGAAGAGAAGGAAUCUCCACUUCAAUGGGUAAAACAACUUCCAUCCCAUAAACUAGAGAAAAGGGUGUUGCCCCAGUAGAGGUCCUAACAGAUGUUCGGUAACCUAAGAGAGCAAAUGAUAGCCUUUCAUGCCAAUCCUUGUAGGUUUCAGUCAUUUUUCCCACAAUUCUCUUAAUAUUCUUAUUGGCCGCCUCCACUGCACCAUUCAUUUUUGGGCGAUAUGGGGACGAGUUAUGGUGACUGAUCUUGAACUGACUACAAACCUCCGCUGUUGUGUUGUUAUUCAAAUUCAACGUAUUAUCGGUAUGAUUCUUUCAGGCAUUCCAUAUCAAAAAAUGAUCUCCUUUUUCAAGAAUUUACUAACCGCCGAUUUCGUGACAUUUCAUAUGAAGCAGCUUCCACCCAUUUGGUAAAGUAAUCAAUGACCACAAAGAUGAAACGAUGCUCAUUCAAAGCCUUUGGUGAUAUUGACCCAAUAACAUCCAUGCCCCACAUGGAGAACAGCCAUGGAGUAGUCAUAGCAUGCAGAGGUGAGGGAGGUACAUGUAUCUUAUCUCCAUAAAUCUGACAUUUAUGACACUUCUUGGCAUAGCUAAUGCAGUCCCCUUCCAUAGUAGACCAAUAGUAUCCAAAUCUCAUGAUCUGUCUGGCCAUUGUAAAACCAUUUGCAUGGGUUCCGCAAAUGCCCUCAUGGACUUCCUCCAGUAUCUUUCUAGCCUCUAUGGCAUCUACACAUCUUAACAGCACUUGAUCUUUCCCUCUUUUGUACAACACUUCCCCAUCUAAGACAUACUCAAUGGCUAUUCUUCUCACCAUUCUCUUAUCGUUUUCUGUCGCUUGAUCAGGGUAUUUUCGAUUCUUCACAUACUGUAGUAUGCUCUGAUACCAAGGGUGAUCAUCUUUUCCCUCUUCUUCAAUACUGUAGCAAUGAGCCGGAACUUCAUAUAUGCUCAUCUGAAUAGGCUUCAUGAUUUCUAACUUGUUCACCUUAAUCAUCGAGGCUAGAGUAGCCAGUGCGUCAGCAUCUGGUUUUCCUCUCAUGGGAAUUAACAGAAAGUGAUGUCAUCAAACUCGUCAAUCAAUUCAAGAACCAGUUCUUUAUAACUGAUCAACUUAGGGUCUCUGGUUUCCCAUUUUCCUUUGAGUUGGUAUAUCACCAAUGCGGAAUCUCUAUACACUUUUAGCACUUUGAUUUUACGUUCAAUGGUCGCAUGAAUACCCAUAAUACAUGCUUCAUAUUCUGCCAUGUUAUUUGUGCAAUCGAAGUCCAACUUGCUAGCGACAGGGUAAUGAUCUCCACUUGGGGAUACCAAGACUGCCCCAAUUCCAUUACCUAUAACAUUUGAAACUCCAUCAAAAUUUAACUUCCAGAUGUGGUCUAUUCGAGGGUUUUCUUCAGUGUUUGCCACAUACAAUAAGUCCUCAUUUGGAAAAUCAAAGUUCAAAGGCUCAUAGUCUUCCAAGGCUCUGCUAGCUAGAAAAUCAGCUAUUGCACUUCCUUUUAUAGCCUUCUGACUUACAUAUACUAUGUCAAAUUCAAAGAGCAGAACUUGCCAUCUAGCCAUUCUCCCAUUUAAAGCAGUUGAUUCCAUCAUGUACUUUAAAGGAUCCAACUUUGAAAUCAGCCAAGUCGUAUGAUACAACAUGUAUUGCCUUAGUCUUCGAGUUGUCGAAAUUAAAGCACAACACAACUUUUCAAUGGACGAGUACCUCAUUUCACAAUCAAUGAAUUUCUUGCUGAGAUAGUAUAUUGCUCUUUCUUUCUUUCCUGUUUCGUCAUGUUGGACCAAGACGCAUCCCAUGGAACUGUCAAACACCGUUAGAUACAAUAUCAAUGGCCUAUCUGGACUAGGCGGUGAUAGUAUUGGAACAUUAGCCAAGUAUUGUUUUAUCUUGUCAAAAGCUUUCUGACAUUCCUCAUCCCAUUCCCCUGGAUUAUGUUUCUUCAGAAGGCGAAACACUGGAUCGCAUUUCUCAGUCAAUUGUCAAAUGAACCGGGCAAUGUAGUUCAACCUUCCUAGGAAACCUCGGACCUCUUUCUGGGUGCUUGGAGGAGGCAGAUCUCGUAUUGCUUUAACUUUAUUUGGGUCAAUCUCAAUCCCCUUCCUACUGACUAUGAAGCCUAACAACUUUCCUGAUCUGGCUCCAAAUAUGCAUUUUGCUGGAUUGAGCUUGAGCUGAAAUUUUCUCAAUCUUAAGAACAAUUUCCUCAAGACUCAGAGAUGAUCCUCUUCAGUUCUAGAUUUUGCAAUCAUAUCAUCAACAUAGAUCUCAAUUUCUUUGUGCAUCAUGUCAUGAAAUAGGGUGACCAUUGCCCUCUGAUACGUUGCUUCUGUAUUCUUCAAUCCAAAGGGCAUUACUUUGUAACAAAAUGUUCCCCAUAGGGUAAUGAAUGUGGUUUUCCUCAUGUCCUCAAGAUGCAUCUUUAUUUGAUUGUAUCCAGAAAAGUCGUCCAUAAAAGAAAAUAAUGAGUAGCUAGCUGUGUUAUCUACCAAAGUGUCAAUGUGCGGCAGCGGAAAAUUGUCUUUUGGACUAGCCUUAUUCAGGUCCCUAUAAUCCACGCACAUUCGUACCUUUCCAUCCUUUUUUGGAACAGGGACGAUGUUUGCUACUCAUUCUGAAUACUUAACCUCCUGUAAGAACCCAGCAUCGAACUACUUUUUGACCUUUUCUUUUAUUUUCAAAACAAUAUCAAGUCUCAUUCUUCUGAGCUUCUGCUGGACUGGUUUGCAAUCCUCUUUUAUAGGUAAAUGAUGUACCACAAUACUAGUAUUUAGCCCUGGCAUACCUGGUAGGACCAUGCGAAAACAUCUUUGAACUCUCGGAGUAAUUCAAUGAGGUCAUAUUUUAUCUUUGCGGUGAUAUCAGUUCCGAUUUUCACCUCUUUUCCUUCCUCUAGGCUCAUAAUUUCUAAUGAUUCCUUAUGAGGUAGGAUUUGUUUAUCCUCUUGUUCCACCAUUCUCAACAAGUCCAGAGAUACACCACAGUCUUCGUCAUUUUCAAAGUCAUGAGAUCCUUCCAAACACAUGUCUUGCUCAAAAAGAGACUCCGUUUUUGAAACCACAUCACUCAUGUCAUUGAUAUCUGAGGACCUAUGGUGAUACACCAAAGAAUAUACAAAGUAUAAAUUUAUGAAUAAUUAUUUGUACGAUCAGGUUAUAAAUGAAAAAAAUAUUUGGAAGACAAUUAAUCAAAUGGAAAAUAUUUACUAGCUUGGAAAGAAUAAAAGAAUAAUUGCUCGAAAUGAAUGCAAAGAUGUAUUUUAUUAGGAUAAAGAUAUUCAAACUUAAGCCUAUUUCACAAAGGAUUUCUUAUCAUUCUUAGGCUAAAAACAACAAUAAUGUUGCGUUCAGUGAUAAACGUUGCGUUCACAAAUUCCAAGGACCGGAAAGAACAUUCCACUGCCUCAUCAUUGGUCUCUACAUAAGGUGCAUCACCCGUUACCAUCGCGAUAAUAUCCUCCUCCGUACUUAUUGUUACCAAUUGACCCUCUGAUAUUAGCUUCACCUUCUGAUGUAACGAUGAAGGUACUGCCCCUACCGAGUGUAUUCACGGUCUCCUCAAUAAACAAUUGUAGGAAGGCUUAAUAUCCAUUACUAAAAAGUCCACCUCAUAAGUAAUUGGGCCAAUUCUUAAUGGUAUUUCAAUUCUUCCUAUAACCCUUAUUUCUGUUCCAUCAAAUGCCCUUACUAUAUGCUGGCAGGGUUUCAUAUGUGAACUGUCCACAGGUAAUCAAUUAAGAGUGGAAAAAGGCAAUACGUUCAAUGCGGAUCCAUUAUCGAUCAAAAUCCCCGAUAAUGUGUCCCCCUGACAUUGGGUAGUAAUGUUUAAAGCUUUAGUAGAACCCCUACCUCCAGACGGUAUUUCAUCAUCGUUGAAGAAGAUAAAAUUGUUAGCAUUUAUAUUGUUGACCAAGCGAUCCAAUUUAUUGACUAAGAUGUCCUCAGCCACAUAUGUUUCGUUUAGUACUUUCAUUAGCGCACUUCGAUGUACUUCUGAACUUAGGAGCAAAGCUAAUACAGAAAUGCGGGCCGAUUGUUUGUACAGUUGCUCCACAACACUGAAUUCACUGUGUUUCAAAAACUUCAAAAAUUCCUUUGCUUCUUCUUCUUUUAUUGGUUCAUUAACCAAUGGCUCAUAUUCCACCGCCUUCCCUUUCCUCUAUUCCACCGUCGGAGUCUUUUCUCUUGGCAAUUCUGCUCGAGUGUCAUAACGCUUUCCAUUACGUGUAUAAGAACCCCUUUCCUGGUAUUCUUUUACCAUAUUGCCCUCAACUUCUUUUCCUAGGAUUGUCACAUUGCAUCCGUAAUUCCACGGGACCAUUUUGUCAUCCUUAUAUGUGAAACUUGACGGUUUUGUGAUUACAAUUUUUCGUGUUACCUGAGCCCUAACCUCAUUAUCCUUAGGGCGUGAGAUAAUGACUACAGGAUGAUUUAUUUUCGGGGUCCCUGUUCCCGACUCUGUCGCGCAUAUGCUCCUCCUUUCUUCCGCAUCUUCAUAGAACAUCAUCUCCUUGUUAUCCAUCAUGCUUUGAACCAAAGCCCUGAAUCCUUCACAUUCUUGGAUUUCGUGCCCUGUUUUAUGGUGGAAUUCACAAUAAUUUCCCAUCUCAUACCCUUCCUCCGAAUCUGAAAUAACUAACCCUCUUUUUGUCAUCUUUUUCCAUACCCGCUUCAAUGGAGUUCUUACUUCAGCGAUGUCAGUCUUAACUUCUUCCCCCGUACCUUCGCUCAACAUAUUCACUCUCUUAUCAUCAUGAUUGGGCAAUGAACCUUUUGUGCUGGGUGAGUCAUCAAAUUUGACAACACCCAAUUUUAUAAGUCCUUCUACAAUCUUCUUGAAAGCGGUACAAUUUUCUAUUGAGUGUCCUGAAAUCCCCGCAUGGUAGUCACAUUGUGCGUUCGUGUCAUACCAUUUUGGAUACGGGGGUUGUAGAGGAUUCAAGUAACAAGGAGCAACAACAUGUGCAUUAAAUAACUUCUGAUACAGCUCUUUAUAUGUCAUUGGAAUGAGAGUGAAAUGGGGCUUCUCUGUAUUUUACCUCAUUCCCGAUUCUUGUUUCGAUGAGCCUUGUUAAUUAGCAACCAUCUUCCCUGGUUGAUUCACUGUAAUUGAUUUACUGUAUGCGUUCACAUUGUUUACUUCACCUUCUCUUUUCUUUGAAGCUGACCUUCGAUUAUUCUCCCCACCAUCUAUUUUUCCACUUUUAAUAGCAUGUUCAAUCAUUUCGCCAUUCAUGAUUAUAUCCGCGAAACUCUUUGAGGCACUUCCUAACAUGUGCGUGAUAAACGACGCCUUCAAUGUGUUGAUGAAAAGCAUCGUCAUUUCUUUUUCCAAAAGUGGUGGCUGAACUUGAACUGUAAUCUCUCUCCAUCUCUGUGCAUACUGUCUAAAACUUUCGUUUGAUUUCAUUUCCAAGUUUUGCAAAGUAAUUCUAUCAGGCAUUAUUUCAGAUACAUGACUGUACUGUCUCAUAAAAGCCUGGGCCAAAUCCCUCCAAGUGCUGAUUUUGGCCCGACUCAACUGGUUAUACCAUUUAGACGCCACCCCAAUGAGGCUAUCCUAAAAACAAUGUAUUAACAGCUGAUCAUUGUUAAUGUACCCAGUCAUUCUCCUACAGAACAUUGUAAUAUGGGCUUCAGGGCAACUGGAACUUAAACUUGUAAGGAAGUACCAAAUCCGGAACUAGACUCAGAUAUUUUGCAUCUAUUCCACGAUAACUUUCAAUGUUUUCUAUUGCCUUAAACUUCUCUUCAAUCCAUUUCCAUUUCUCCUCAAACUGUUUUGGUAAAUCUUCCUUUUCUUUAUCCUUCUCAGCUACUUCAUCGAAGUCCGGGACAUCAAGAUUAACUGGGUUUUCACCAGGGUUAGAACCUGAUCCAGCUUGGGAGUUCAUCAGUAUUGGAAUAUCGGCUUGAAACUGCUGAGGCUUUAUUGAAAUAGAGGAUCUACGCGGCGGCAUCUCAGUCUAAACCUGCGCAUGCAGAGACGUAAAGCCUGGAGGAUAGGUGGGUCGAGUCUUGUCUUCUUGUUCACCAUUAAUCAUAGGGCCUUUCCCCAUAUUUAUUCCUUUUAAUAACUGCGUCAGCUCAGUCAUCAUGUCCUUUUGAGACUCCAGCAUCUUUUCUGUCAUGUCCUGUUGAAUUUUUUCAAACUGCUCCUUCAUUUCUAUCUGUAACAGAUCUUGCAUUUCCUUUUGAAGUCGCUCCAACUUUUCCAAUCUUUGAUCCAUAAUUUUUUAUUUUGCACGAGUACCGUAGCGGUGUUUGGUUGAUGAGUUUUUGCCAAUUUCCAGAUUAACUGAAGCACAAUUUUAACCAAUUAAAACCCCUUUUUAAUAAUCUUGAAUGCAUAUGUAAUGCAAAUGCAUGAAAUGAAUGCAAAAAUGAGCGUUAAUUCUGAUUCAAUUUCUUUUUAGAAAACUUUAUUGAUAAACAAAAUUCUUUACAUAAAAUGGAUUAUAGACAUCGCUUUGCCCUAAUGCUCAGAGCUCUAAGUUCUUUCAACAAUGAAGCUAACUCCUGACCUCGGUCCGAUUCUAGUUCAUACUUUACACUUAAAACAUCAGCCUGAAUCGCCAUUGUUUGCAAAUAAUCAGUUACCUCCUGAACCUGAGCAAUAGCUCUGCCCAUAAUGUAAUCCCUGUUCUGAAUUUGAUUCUGCGAAUGAUGAAGUUGCUCCCUCCAACGCUCUUCGUUUCCUUCCACGGAUUCGAUCCAUUGUCUACAACCUUGUAAUGUGUACUCCAAUUCUUCUAUCUUCUUUUUCAAUUCUUGAAUCUUGCACAGACUUGUCUUUAAUUCCACUACAGAAUUAUGAUUUCUAUACGCAGCAAGUGAUCUCUCGUGUUCCGCUAUUCUAGCUUUCAAGUCCGCUUGAUAGUUUUGAGUUUCUAACACCUGCUGCUCUAAGGUCUCUUUCUGAACUUGAGUCUCCUGGGACUUUCUUUCCCACUGACCGGCUUUGCUUCUUUAUUCCUGGACCUCCUAUCGCCACUACUCUGAAGUCUUUCCUAGCCUGGCAGUUCUCAUUAAUACUCGUAACCUCUUGUAGCCUGUCUUUAAGCUAUCGAGAUCCUCCUCUACUUUAUUCUUCCCCUUCUUUAAUUUUUCAGCUUCUAAUUUUUGGACGUCGACGUCUAGCCUCAAAUGCAUCUUCUCUUUUUCCAACCGCUCUAUUUUCUUUUCAAGUUCUAAAUUCCUCUUUUCAAAAUCUUGUUUUAUAAUCUCCAACUCUGAUGGGAUCACUUGUAGAUACUCUUCCAUUGGUCAAACACUCUCCAAGUUUAACUCUGAGAUGUUAUCAUUAAUCCUUUUACGUCGCCACUCACCGUACUCUGGAGUUGUCAUUGAACCUACAGCUAGCCUUUUCAUCCUGUGAACCUGAUUCCAAGCCUGAGAAAUUUCCUUCACCUUUUUCUUGUAAUUGUCUCCUCGAUACGAGAACUCACAUUGAGCUAAACCAUACAUUGGCACAAACUGUCUUGAAUUGUAUUGCCUUAAGACCAGCAAAGGCGCAUAUUCGACAGCUCCCCAAAUCCCAAGCAAUGGAACCCAGUCAAAGUUUCUACAACGGUAGAGAAUUCCAUCAGGAAUCAACCAAGGAGCUCACCAUUCCACAUCAUCCUCAUGAAGAUUUUGCAGAAUUGCUAUCCAAUUUUCUUCUGAUAUAUCGUCCCUUCUGGGGGUAGCCACUAUCUCCUUUAACGGGGAGUAAUGCUCAGAGAAAACCCGAUACGAAACUUUGUCAACCUUCUAAGAAUGACUAUGGAACCAAGUUAUCAACUGUUGCGCACAACCUAUAAAUCUGCCUUCUCCAGCUCGCCUACACGCAUUCAAAGAUCUAAACGUUUCAGCCAAAAUCGCAGGAACAGGUGUGACCCCUUUACCCAACCGAUCAAAAAGAUCUAAAACAGCUUCGUCAACAGGCCCCAGUACCCUAGGGAAAAUCACUAAACCAUAAAUACUCAAAGCAAACACAUCGACCUUCUUUUUUCCAUCAGGAUGUGCUAGGAUCAAGUCUCGCAAAUUCCUCCAUGGGAUACAUUUACACUGGCCCUUCUAUUUAAUCCUGGCCGUGAUCCAUUGUUCACUUUUUCCCGUAAUAAUCAUUAAUUUCUUCCAAAAUGCUGGGACAUAUGCGGCUUUGGAAUAUGUUUAUCAUUCUGAAGCCUAGGGCAGUGCAGUAAAACCGUAUAUUCCUCUACUGUAGGCACCAAAUCUACGUUCCCAAAAGUAAAACAACUAUAUGUAGGAUUCCAAUAUUGAGCGAGAGAGCGAAACAGUCGUUCAUCCACCUUGAUGUUAAGUAAGUACGGCAAGUCCCCAUAAUUAGAGUAGAACAACUGCUUGGUUUCAUCAUCCCACGGAUCCCAAAUCUCACUUAACUCCUGAAGGCUAUUUUACGUCACACUCAUACGAGUGUAGUCCCAAAGCUCUGACAGAUAAUCCUUAGCUAGACUGUCUCCCUUUUCCAAUUGCACUUUUUCUGACCAUAUACAAACAAUGGCAUUGCCUUCCACUUUAUCAAGAAAAUUGUUUGCCAUGACAAUUUUCUAAUUUGGUAACUGAACUUGAAUCGACACUCCUUGAAAUAUGCAAUGACAUGCAACAUAUCAACAAAACACAAACAAGUCAGUAUAACACCACAACAAUUCAAAGCAAGUAUAAGAAAAUCAAGCACCUAUUCGGGUAAUCACUAGAGGUUGGAAUAAUUCUAACCAAGUUGGUCUCCUAAGUCAGCUAUAUGAGGUUUGGUUCUAGAGUGAAGGUACCUGAACUAGCAAAUUCCUCGAUCUUCACCCAUUAUAGGCUCAUAUAGACCGAGUUUGGUUCAGGGGAAUACAUUUCCCUAUGGCUGCACGGAGAUGAAGAUCUCACGAACACAUAGGUACAGGUGUAUCCUAAAAGUGAUCCACUAUCCUGCACGGAGGUGAAAACCUCACGAAGGAGUAGAUUCUCACUCCACCUAGAGGGGUAAGACAAAAAUAGCCUUCAUGCAAUAUGAUGACAAAAUAUAAAAUUCAAUUUUACAGUAAUCAUGUAAACAAAUGCAAAGAGAUGAUCGUAGUUUUUCAAAUCAAUUUUUUAAUUUUUAACAAUAAGACAAAAAUAAUCAAUUUUACGGCCUGAUUCUCUUAUGGUUCCCCAGUGGAGUCGCCAAGCUGUCGAAACCACUUUUUUGAAAAAACAAAAAUAGUUGUCGACUUAAAAAUGAAAAUUGGGAGUCGCCACCAAUCUUUUAUUGAGGUGUGAUUAGAUCACCUUGAAAAUAAUUUUAGGUCUGCGAAUUUUGAGAAAACAGGUUCGGGAGUCGAUUACGCACGAGGAAGGGUUAGCGCUCUCGUGACGCCCUUGAUUGUUUAAUAUCUUAAUGUCGAAAUUUUGAAAUGAUUUUAAAAUACGAUCCUUUUAUCUUGAAUUGGAUUAUAAAGCUCUCUUAUUUCAAAGAAAUAGAUUGCCACACUCAGUAAGUUAGAGUGUAACAUUUUGAAUCCUCGAAAUUAAGUUUGUCCCUUUCUAAAAACAUUAACAUGUUUUGAAAAGGAUAUUUGAUGAUUUAAGUCAAUCAAGAAAUUAGAACCCAGUAAGUUAGGGUUCAAUUUCUCAAAAUUCUUAAACAUCGAAUAUUGCCUUUAUUUUAAAAACGAGAUAACAAAAUAUCGUACCCAGUAAGUUAGGAUCCAACAUUUUGAAAUCUAAAGAAUUUUAUUUAAAUGAUUGUAAGGUUUUAAUAAAAUGAACACUUGAUUAUCUAGUUCAUCGAGAAGAAUUGAAGCUCAGUAAGUUAGGGCACAAUUCUCUCGAAAACUUAUGAAUACCAAGCCUUUUUUAGGAGUUUUGAAAUAAGACCAUUAUAAUAUUUUAAUGAAAUGCAAUUCUUACAAAUAAUAUAAUUGAAUAACAAUACAUAAAGCAAAUGAUGAAUAGCCAACUAAAUUUACAAUAUGGAGCAACCAAGCAUAUAAUGUAUCAACAUUAACAAUCAAAUAAACUAAUAAUCAAUCUUACAAAUAGCCAAAUGAAUAAUUAAUAUAAAAUAAUUUAAUCAUAAGUAAACCAAUUAAAAUAAUAGAAAUGAAUAAAAUUUUUAAAACAUAGAAUAUAAUUUUAUAAGCUACAAGUUAUGACACAUUUUACACACACAUAUAUAUAUAUAUUAAAAUAAUUUCAUAUAAAUUAUACAUAUAAUAAUUGUAUACUAUCAUUGUAAAAACAAAAUGUUGAAUUNNNNNNNNNNNNNNNNNNNNNNNNNNNNNNNNNNNNNNNNNNNNNNNNNNNNNNNNNNNNNNNNNNNNNNNNNNNNNNNNNNNNNNNNNNNNNNNNNNNNACUCUAAAAUGUAUUGUUGAGAUAUAUAGAGUAAUAUAUAAAAUUAAAAUUAACAAUAAUUUGAAAAAUAAAAGUAUAUAAAGAUUUUGAAAAGGUUAGUGAAUUUAAAACAUAUUGAUAAUAAUUUUACAAGAAUAAAGCAUCACAUCUUAGAAAUCAUACUAAUAAUAAGCUUAAAAAUAAUAUUAAACCAAUAAUAAAAAUAAUGUAAAAAUAAUAUAUGAAUAUAGUAUCGAAACAUCGAAUUUUAAGAAAGGAAACUAAAUUAGUAUUAAAUUAAAAUUUAUUUCAAACAUGAAGAACCGAAUCAGCAAUUAUACACAACCAUGGAGAUGACCCAAAACGAAUCACAGAAACGGUACCGUUUGAACUAGGACCUAAAUGAAUACCGAAAUAAAUGUAAGGUACAAAUGGCAAACAAAUAAAGAAAAUCAAAUCAUAAUCCCAUUGAACUCUGAGGGACCUAUUAGGAAAAUAGACCAACCAACCAGAGGACGCGGAUCCUACCCGAUCCGGUCACCGCCUGGGUCGGGCCAUCGAACGGCGCCGUUUCAGUGCCAUUGUAUAGGCUCUGAAUGGCGACGUUUUAAAUCCUGCACUUAAAACUAAAAUAAACCCUAAAAAAACUAUCACCUACAUCAAAACAAAACUUGAACUAAAGCAAAAACCCUGCACCGUUUUGUACAUUGAGGGCAUUCAGGCGGCUUUCGAACCUAGCCCGUUCUUUGAUGACGACGAAGAGGGCUAAGAUCGAGCUACUAGGUACGUUUCCCUCUCCUUUACUGCUAAUAUUUUCUCUUUUAAACAACUAUUGAAGAACAUAAAAACUAGAGACAAAAAGCCAAGAAAUGAACUAAGUAAACAGCGAAACAGAGAGGAAUGAAAUCCCCGAGAAUCACCUUUCUUUUUUGAUUUUUUGUAUUCUCGAGUUCUUGUAUAUUGAAUGCGUAAGGGGAAAAAUAAUACCAUCCGUUUCAGUUCUUAUAUCUUUCUUUUUUACAAAGAAUCAAAAAAUUUGAGAAAAAAAAUCCCGUUGGUUUGCUCUCUACUGCGUUUUGUUUGCAUUCGCAGGUACGGCGUACAUCUAGCGUACGGAGAUGGUGGACGUGGCACGGUGUAGCGCGUGUGGCAGUGGUGCACGUGCGAGGGCAAUUGCUGCGGCGCUGGAUGCUGCGUUGUUUCCCUAGGGUUUCUGAUUUUCUUUGGUGUCGGGUUGGGCCGAGUUAGGUUUUGGGUUAGGUAUCGGGCCACUGUAACUGGGCCAAUCAGGUUUAGUGUUUUGGUUAUAGGCAUUUGGGCUAAUUGGGACUUUGAAUUUUGUAAUCGGGUUCGGGCUUUGGUUUGUAAUAUGGACUGAUGUUAUGGACAUUUAAAAUUUGCUUUUAUGUUGGUUUUACUUAUCUUAUUAUUUUUUAUUGGGUCGGGCAAAUUGGGCCUAUUACACCAACUAUCCAUCUUUUCACCUUAAAACUUAUAAGAUUCGAGUCCUUAAUUGCUAUUAGGGAUUCUUUCUUGUUUUAAGUUCUUUAAUCCAUCUUUUCCAUCAAACUAUCUUUGUUUUAUCCUCUACCUAUUUAAACUAUCUUCUUAAAUUUACCUUUUUGUUAAACUAAAACGAGAACUACUUAAUUUUAGAUCGGGCAUCAAACGACUCAAUUAUAUCUCAUAAGUGAGUUUGUAUCAUUUGGUAUCAAAGCUUUUCAAAAUUAAGUAAGUUUUUAUUGUUUUCAUACUCCUAAGAUUGAAUAGAAGUAAAAAAAUCAAUCUAUAAAAAACAAAUUUCGUGUUAAAAAAAAAGGUGUUGUGCAAAAAAAUACAAAAGUGAAAUAGAAAGUGGGGAAUCGGAUUUGUACAUUUCAACAAAAAGAAAAGCUCAUUUUCAAAGUGUUUAAAAUUUCUGAUUUUUUUGUUUAUUCUUUUAAACCGAUUUUUGCAAGCCACACUUUUGAAAUUUCCUUUCAGCCUACCUAUUACCGGACAUCAAUCCAUUUGUUUUUAAGCCCUUUUAAAGCCGACCUAUAAGUUUUCUAAAUAGGUCUAAUGAAAUCUCCAAGAAAUUUGAUAAGUGAAUUUGAGUGGUAAAAGGCAUGAGCGAAAAUACAUCAACGAGGUAAAAGCCAAAAUUUGAGCGCAAACACAAGUGGACUGUCAUUUUAUAUUUUCUUUUUCUUUUCAAGAGAAAUCAGUGAGGUUUGAUGUGAGGAUUUAAUCAUCAUGUCAAGAAGUCCAGAACAUAAUAUGGCAAUUGGAGGUGCAUCCAAUGCUACCGGAGGUAGUGGUAUAUCAGCCUAGAAGAAAUGUAACUGGAGGAGGAGUUCUUGAUUUGCAAGUACAAGCUAUAAUUAGAGAAAUGAAUCAAUUAUUUCAAACACAAAUUGAUUCAAUACAAGAGCAAUUUGAACCCAUCCAAGAGCGAUUGAACAGGAUCGAGGAGAGAAAUCAACGUGAGCAAACGCCUCCAAAUUUGAGAGGAGAAAGGGGUCAACUCCAGCAACAUGAUAAUGAUCUCUAGGAACCCAGCGAUGUGGACAGUGACCAAGCUUCUAACCAAAGUGAAAGGCAAAAAGGACGAAGACACCGGGAGCCAAGAGAUCGAGAAAGAGUCGAUGAUGAUUUGAAAAACAUAAAGAUGGCUAUUCCUACUUUCCAAGGAAGGUCUAAUCCCUAAGCCUACUUAGAAUGGGAGAAAAAGAUAGAGUUGGUGUUCGACUAUCACAACUAUUCUGAGAGCAAUAAGGUAAAGCUUGUAGUGACUAAGUUCUCUGAUUACACCAUCAUUUGGUGGGAUCAGUUAACUGUGAGCCAAAGACAAAAUGGAGAACGAUUGGUGUCUACAUUGGCGGAGAUGAAAGCUUUAAUGCAAAAAUGAUUCAUUUUGACCUACUAUCAUCGAGAACUUUACCAAAAGCUCCAUAACUUAACCCAAGGCAAUCGGAGUGUUGAGGAUUAUUAUAAGGAAAUGGAGGUGGUUAUGAUUCGUGCUAAUGUGGAGGAAGAUCGUGAGGCCACCAUGGCAUGGUUUCUUAAUGGUCUCAACCGAGACAUAGCCAAUAUUGUGUAGCUAAAUCAUUACGUCAAAGUAAUCGACAUGGUCCACAUGGCCAUAAAGGUGGAAAAAAAUUAAAUGAAAAGGCGUUUCACGAGUCUUUCCUAAUGCUUCUUCAACAGUAAAGUAGGGUAAAGGAACUAGCAAGCGAGAAAUUCCAAACCGAACCAAGGAGGCAAGUGAAAAUCCAAAGCCUAUCAAAACAAGUGGUGAAACUAACAAGGGCAAAAUAGAAGUCGUCUCUAGCUGAUAUCGAGACCUUAAAUGUUUUAGAUGUCUUAGAAGGGGACAUAUAGCGAGUCAAUGCCCAAAUCAGAGUGCCAUGUUCCUUCGAGAUGAUGGAGAAAUUAAAUCUGAAAGUCAACACGAGGAUGAGUCCAAUGAAUAGACUAAUGAAGAGAAGGACUUAGAACAAGCUGAGAAAGGUGAAAUUCUUGUUAUUAAAAGAAUUUUGAACUUCUAAGGAGUGGAUGAUGAGCCGCAAAGGGAGAAUAUCUUCCAUACACAUUGCUUAGUACAAGGAAAAUUUUGCUGCGUUAUCAUUGAUGGAGGUAGUUGUGCCAAUGUAGCCAGCACGACGAUGGUGGAGAAGCUUGGCUUAACCACUACGAAACAUCCACAGUCCUACAAGUUGCACUGGCUUAACGACGACGGUGAACUUAAGGUGACAAAACAAGUCCUUAUUUUGAUUUCAAUUGGAAAGUACCAAGAUCAAGUUGUUUGUGCCGUGGUGCCUAUGCACGCUGGGCAUUUGCUGCUUGAGAGGCCCUGGAAAUUUGACUGAAAAGUUAUCCACAAUGGAUAUAACAACCGGUACUCAUUUAAGCACAGAGGAAAGAAUGUUACAUUAGUACCUCUUCACCGAAACAAGUUCAAGAAGACCAAAUUCAGUUGAGAAAGUUGUAUGAAAAGAUGAGAGAAGAUAAAAGUGAAAAAGAAAAAGUAAAGAAUGAGAAAAAAAGUUGAAACACAAAAAAAGAAGAAAAGAGAUGGUGAGCUUAAAAAAAACUUUUAUGCGAGAAGAAAAAUAGAAAAAGAGAAAGACUGAAAAAGAAUCGAAUGAAGAGAGGACAUUUGUUGCUAACCGAAAUUCAAAUCUGCCUUGUAAUCUUUCUUCUUUUCAGAUGUGUAAAGCCCUAACCAUUGACAAGUUCCAACUCCAUCACCUACCUGAUGAAUGACAAUUUCAAUUAAGAGAAAAGGGUAAGUUGGAGAAUACAAAUGCACUUAUUAUUCCUGUAGGUAAGCCAGGUAAGAAAUAUCUUAACAUUCAAUCUGAUUGUUGUUUGACUUCCAUUGACUAUUGUGUUUGUCUCCAAGAAAUUUCUUUUAAUGAUUUGUUUUGUUUGAAUAGAAUUGUUGAAUCUGUUUUGAAUGGUGAUUUGAAUUGUACUAAACUUCAAGGCGACUUAGGUUUUGUUAUUAAAUCUAUUUUGAAAUUGAUUGCCAUGAGUGUUGAACAAUUGCUACAUGAAGUUUAUACUCUAUUCCAUGCAAAAUGCCAUGAAAAGUCCUUAACAUCAUGCAAACCAAUUUUAUGGACGCAGCUGCCUAUUCUUUAGAAACUUGGAAAUUCUAAUAACUUACACAUAACCAAGUCUAAUUUCCAAUUGUUUAAUGUAAUUAUCUUGUUGCUGAAUUACGCUUUUACUUUAUUUUCGAGAAUCAGUCAACAACACUCUAUAUUUCAAGCUAGAGUAAGUUAUCCUACGCUAUUUCUGAAAGAAGGAGGAGUCUUGUUCCAAGUGAUGGAAUCCAUUGUUGAUGGUUCAUAACAAACGAAUCUACCAAGUAAGUAUUCUGGUCAUAUGAGUUUAAACGUAUCUAAUCCAUAUCUCUUUGAUGUAGGCCCCGAUUUGAGGAUAAAUCAUUUUGAAGAAGGGGGAAUGAUACGAACCAGCUCAAAGACUUAGAUGACACCAAAUGAGAUCCCAUCGAGAUCCCUAUUGGUCCAAUCAUUUGAGCUCAAGCUAAACAUUUUAAAGAAUCAUUAGCGGCUCUAGUUGAACAAGAUUGGGAGAAAGCUACAAAGGGGAUGGACGAAUCAACAAGAAGCAUCUUCAAUUUGUUGGAAGCUGAAUUCGAAUCAGAUUGCUAACUUAGCUAGCUAGACUUAGACAUUUUAAUUAUUUUAGCUCAUUUAAUUAUGUUUAAGUUUACUACAGCUUAAUUACAUCUAUUAAAUGUGUCUUAGUCCAUUUCAUAUUUAUUUGAGUGUUUAAUUUAUGUUUAUUGAAGCUUUAAUCAUGUGUAUUUAAUUGUGUUUUUUACAGGUUGCUAGAAAGUAGCAGCUCACAUCCUUAUAUGCUGUUGAACAAACUUGAACCUAGCCGAUUCAUUAUAGCUCAUUAAAAAUGGAGCAUGUACUCGGAUUACACAUGAAUGUUAGGAGCUGAUUUUGAGCUGAAAAUUCAUGAAAUUAGCUAAUACAUUGAAGACAUUUAACGACGAGCAACGUACUUGAAUUGUGCAUGAACAAAGGGAGCUACUACUACUCAACCAAACAUACAUGUAUCUAGCCGAUACAUUGAAGCUAGCUAAAGCACCCGAUUGUGCAUGUAUCAUGAGAGUUACUAGGUGCAUUCCCCAGUUGAAUUAUUCAUGUACCUCAGCCAAUGAUUAUGAGCUUAACAAGCUACCUUUUCAAGUGUUCAUUUGAUUCUUGCUGUUGACACAUAAAGACUAUUCGAUGCACCUACAAUCAUCAAUUCCAUUCACCGAAUCCAGCUACAUUUAGCUCACCAUCAUGCUAUGAAUCAAGACCGAUUAUCAUUGGCACUUCACCAAGUUCAUCAUUUUUAGCUAGACAUUAAUUUAGCUUAAUUAUUUCCCUUCAAUGUUUGUCUAUUCAGUUGGUCACAUUUCAGCCUAUAAAUAGUUCAUUUGGAAAAACCUUUUGACAUCAUCCUUGUUUCUACUUGACUUAUCUAGCUAAGCUAGUGGCAUCAUCCUUGUUUCUUUUCUGAACUUAUCACUCGUCCAAGUGUGCCAUUCAAACUUAUUCCGUUGGUUCCUAUCUUGCUAAAUAGUGGGUCACGGUCCUAUCCAACUAUCCAUCUUUUAACCUUAAAACUUAUAAUAUUCGGAUCCUUAAUUGCUAUUAAGGGGUCUUUCUUAUUUUAAGUUCUUUAAUCCAUCUUUUCCGUCAAACUAUCUUUAUUUUAUCCGCUGCCUAUUUAAACUAUCUUCUUAAAUUUACCUUUUUGUUAAACUAAAAUGAGAACUACUUAAUUUUACGAUCGGGCAUCAAAUGACUCAAUUAUAUCCCGUAAGUGAGUUCGUAUCAACCAGCUAGGGCCUAUACGAUUCGUGCUCGAGAGGAAGCUUUAGCACCUGAUGUGAUCACUAGAACAUUUUCUAUCUUUGAUACUAAUGUUAAUGUUUUGAUUGACCUGGGGUCGACGUACUCAUAUGUAUGCAGAACUUUAGUGUCGAAAAAGAAAAUACCUUUUGAGUCUACUAAAUAUGUGUUUAAAGUCACAAACCCUUUAGGUCAGUAUGUAUUAGUUGAUAAAGUCUGUAAAAACUAUCAUUUGAUGAUUCGGGGUUGCAACUUUUCGGCUGAUUUUAUGUUAUUACCUUUUGAUGAGUUUGAUGUGAUUUUGGGUAUGGACUAGUUAACUCUGCAUGAUGCUAUUGUGAACUACAGAUGAAAGCAUAUUGUGUUAAAGUGUUAGAAUGGUGAAAAGCUUCAAAUUGAAUCUGAUAGAUUGGAUGGUACAUCUAAUGUUAUUUCACCUAUGACGGCACAGAAAUAUGUUAGAAAGGGCUGUGAAGCGAAUCUUGCUUAUAUAUUUGCUUCUAGAGUUUCAGAAUUAAAGUUAGAAUCGAUUUUUAUUGGAUGUGAGUUCAUAGAUGUAUUUCCAGAAGAAUUACCAAGGUUACAGCCGAUCAGAGAGGUUGAGUUUGUUAUUGAAUUAAUGUCAGGAACAUCUCCAAUAUCAAUAGCUCUGUAUAGAAUGGCACCUAUAGAAUUAAAAGAAUUGAAAGCACAGUUGGAAGAGUUGACAGAUAGGGGUUUUGCUAGUCCCAGAUUUUCUCCUUGGGGUGCUCUUGUGUUAUUUGUUAAGAAAAAGGAUGGGUCAACGCAAUUGUGUAUCGACUACUGACAGCUCAAAAAAGUUACGAUCAAUAACAAAUAUCCCUUGCCACGUAUAGAUGAUUUGUUUGAUCAGCUGAAAGGUGCGACAGUGCUUUCAAAUAUCGACCUUUGUUCUGAAUAUUAUUAGCUACAAGUUAAAGAACCUGAUGUGCCAACAACUGCUUCUAGAACCAGGUACAGACAUUAUGAAUUUCUUGUUAUGCAAUUUGUUUUGACCAAUGCACCUGCUAUGUUUAUGGACUUGAUGAAUAUAAUAUUCAGACCGUAUUUAGAAAUAUUUUUUGUUGUAUUCAUUGAUGACAUUUUGAUCUAUUCACAAGAUGAGACAGAGCAUGCCCAAUAUUUCACAAUUAUUUUGCAGACUUUACGUGAAAAAUAGUUAUUCACUAACUUUAGCAAAUAUGAGUUUUGGCUCUAGGAAGUUGGAUUUUUGGGACACGUAGUGUCGGUAGAUGGUAUUAGAGUUGAUCCGAGUAAACUUUUAGCUGUAGUGGACUGGAAAUCUCUGAGAAAUGUGUCAAAAGUCAAGAUUUUUCUAGGUUUUUAGCCGAAUAUUAUAGAAGAUUUGUCAAAGGAUUUUCGAUGAUUGCUACACUGUUGACGAAACUACUUCAAAAAGAUGUCAAGUUCGAAUGGUCUGAAAAGUGUCAGCAAAGUUUUAAUCAGUUGAAAGCAUUAUUAACUAAUGCACCUGUGUUGGUUCAGCCAGAAUCUGAUAAAGAAUUUGUGAUUUAUAAUGGUUCUUCAUUGAAUGGUUUAUGUUGUGUUUUGAUGCAAAAAGGCAAAGUGAUAGCAUAUGCUUCUUGACAGUUGAAUUAUCUAACUCAAGAUUUAGAGCUUGCAGUUAUUGUAUUUGCUUUAAAGAUUUAGCGACACCAUUUGUACGGGGAAAAAUAUCAUAUUUUCACGGAUCACAAAAGCCUGAAGUAUUUGAUGUCACGGAAAAUUUUGAAUUUGAGACAGCGUAGAUGGCUUGAGUUGCUGAAAGAUUAUGAUUUGAUCAUUGAUUAUUAUCUGGAAAAGGCUACUGUUGUUGCUAAUACGUUGAGUAUAAAAUCUUUAUUUUCUUUGUGAGCUUUGAACACACGGUUGAAAUUGAUUGAUGAUGGUUCAAUUUUAGCUAAAUUGAAAGCUAGACCGACGUUUUACAACAUAUUUGUGAAGCUCAGAAAAGUGGUGUUGAAUUGAUCGCUAGAGGGGAACAAGUUGGAUCGACACCAGAUUCUAACUUUCAUGUUGGCUCAGACUACAGUUUAUACUUUAGAAACAGAAUUGGUGUUCCGAGAAACUCUGAUCUCAUUCAAAAGAUUUUACAGGAAGCUCACAGUAGUAUCUUAUCGAUUCAUCCUAGUAGCAAUAAAAUGUACGGUGAUUUGAAACAGAGGUAUUGGUGGGCAGGUAAGAAAGGGAGAUUUUAGAGUUCGUAUCAAAAUGUUUGAUUUGUCAGCAAGUUAAAGCCAAACAUCAGGUACCUUCUGGUUUAUUACAACCAGUGAUGAUUCACGAGUGGAAAUGGAAACAUGUCACGAUGGAUUUUGUAUUGGGAUUGCCUCUAUCUCCAAGAAAGAAAAUGUUGUAUGUGUUAUUGUAGAUAGCUUGACAAAAUUCGCGCGUUUUCAUUCCUGUGCGUACGAAUUUUUCACUCGAAAGAUUGACAGAAUUGUAUAUUUUUGAAAUUGUUAGACUACACGGUGUGCUAGUUUCUAUUAUUUCUUAUAGAGAUUUUUGUCAUUGGUUGAAUUUGCAUACAAUAACAGUUAUCAGGUGAGCAAUAAAAUGGUGCUGUGUGAAGCUUUGUAUGCUCGAAAAUGUCGAACUCCGUUAUAUUGGACUGAGCUGAGUGAGAAAAAUUUAUUCGGUGUUGAUUUGAUUCGAGAAACCGAACAAAAGGUUAAAGUGAUACGUGAUAGUUUAAAAGCGGCUUCUGAUCUUUAGAAAUCCUACGUGGAUUUGAAAAGAAAAGAUAUAGAAUUUCAAGUCGGUGACAAGGUAUUUCUAAAAGUAUCACCUUGGAGAAAAGUUCUCCGAUUUGGUCGAAAGGUAAAGCUUAGUCCGCAAUUCAACGGGCCAUAUGAGAUUAUUGAGAGGAUUGGGCCGGUGGCUUAUCGAUUGGCUUUUUUGUUAGAGUUAGAAAAGAUUCAUAACGUAUUCCAUGUAUCAAUGUUAUGACAGUAUCAAUCAGAUCCUUCACACAUGAUUUCACCUGUAGAUGUUGAGGUUUAGCCAAAUAUGACGUAUGGUGAACAACCAAACAGAAUUCUAGCUCGGGAAGUUAAAGAAUCGAGAAAUAAAAGUAUAGUAUUAGUUAAAGUUCUCUAGCCACGACACGGAAUAAAAGAAGCUACCUAGGAACUGGAAGAAGCUAUGAAAGUGCAAUACCCGAACUUAUUAUCUGGUAAGAUUUUCGGGGACGAGAAUUCCUUUAGAGGGAGAGUUGUAACAACCCAUUUUUAUUAAAAUUGGAACAGUGGUUUCAGGACCAUAAAUCUAUUAGUAAAUUAUUAUUUUAAUGUUUACGGGAUUAGAUUAAGGUCGUUUUAAAAUUUUGUUAAGAAAUUUAGAUGUUUACAUAGUUAAUUUUGUAAAAAGGAGUAAAUCAAAAAAUGGGCAAAAGUUGAGUUCUAUUAGCUAAAAGGGUCAAAUGGCUACGAAAUUUUAAAUUAAAGGACUUUAUGGGUAAAUAAACCAUUUAAAUAAGAUAGUGGAUGUACAUGGCAAGGUUUUAAUGAAAUUUUGGAAGUUUUUAAAGGUUAAAAUGGUAAUUAAUUAGUUAAUCAUAAAUAAAAUAAAAUAAAAGUUAAACAUCAUCUUCUUCAUUUCUUAACUCAACCAAAAAUACACCAUUGGAGAUAUCUAUGGUUUGGCCAAGGAUUAUUUCACUUGCAUGGUACUUAGUUUUGUCUCCUUUUAGCUUAAUCUAGCUAGCGCUGGGACCAAUUUGUAAAACUGUUAAGGGUUGAGGGUUAUACCAUGAAUGUUUUUGAAUUUUUUUGAUGUUAAAUGGUAGAUUAUGAACCUUUUUUGAAAAAUAAACAAGUUUUGUAAAGUGAUUUUUGAUGAAAUUUACAUCUACGGAUUGGUUUGUAAAGAUAGUAAAAGUCCCUAAAGAAUUCAGUUAGCCUAUAAGAGGGAUUAAAAUGCUUAGAUUUUAUGAGCUUAAGGACUAAAUUGUGAAAAGUUAAAAUAUUAGGGGUAAAAUGAUAGUUUUGCAUAAAUAUGAAAUGUGGACUAAAUUAAGUACUACAAGUAUUAAAUGGAUUGAAAUUUUCUAUUUAGAUGAAGAUAAACCACGUAUGGACCUAGAUCGGGGCAAUGCAGAAGCUUCUGAUUAGCCCGAUAUAACCUUCACACCCCUAGUUGUCGAGGUAAGUUCGUAUGAAUGGUUAUCGUAUUAAUGUUGUUUAAUUUGAAUGUUUAUUGUGUUAUUUUUAAUGUAAAUGGAUCGAUGUAUAAUCGUAUAAAUGCUAUGAUGAAUUGACGGAUGUUGAGUCCUGGUCGAACCUUAGGAAUUUGUAGGAUACAAAUGACAUGUCAUUAGAGAUAUCAUGUUUCGGGUGUUGGUCUUGAAUGUCCUACUAAUGACUGAGGUCCUGCAUUUCUUACAGAUUCUCCAAAGCUCGUGUGAGCUGGAUCGUGUAGCUUACAAUCUGACCCACAGCUCGUGUGAGCAGACCCAUUUCACAACUCGUGUGAGCAAUGAUGUAAAGGAAAGGUUAUGGUUAUAUGUAAAAGCAUACUUCGUGCGAGCUUUCCCGAGAAUCCAAUGAAAUUCUAGAUGGUUCAAUGGGUAUAAAAAGGAAAUGAAAUGAUACGUGUUCAAAUGGAAUGUAUCAUGAACUUAUGAAAAGGAAAUGAUGGUUUAAAUGAUGUGACUAAAUAUGUAAAUUACUUGUUAUAAAUGAAUUCAUUUGAACCAUGUAUAAAUGCACUAACUUGUGUAUUUGAUGAUGUUGUAUAGGCAUUAUGCCAAACUUAUGGUUUUAGUUGGUAUUACACUUAUGCUAUUUACAUUAUGCAAAUGAAAUGGUAACUUGUGUUUAAGUUAUAUGAGCUUAGUAAGCAUUAAGUACGUACAUAGUUUCUUUCCUCUGUUUCAUAGAUUAUCUGAAGCUCGAUCGAUUUGGAAGCUUGUCGGAGACCUAUCACACUAUCCAACAUAAAUAUCAGUAGUUUUUUAAUGUUUUGGCCAAGAUUAUAAUGGCAUGUAUAGGUUGAAAUGUAAUGGUAUUUUGUUGAAUGAUUAGUUGGUGAAUUGGUAUGUAUAAAUUCUGUAAGUUAACAUUGUUGGUACCAUUUGAUGCCUUGCUAGAUUGUGUCAAUUUGGUUGUCUUAUGUUGCAUGUUUUGAGUGGCUCAUAUAGUAUGUUUUGAAUUGGUAUGAAUGUGGUAAAGUUAUGAUAUAUUUUGGAAAGUAUUGAAUUAGAUAUUGAUGUUUGAAAUUAGGGAAAAUUGACAUGUUUAGGUGAGUCUUGAUGAUUGCAUUUGAGGUGCCUAUGAAUGGCAUAUUGGUUAGAUGAAUUAAGACCCUUGAGAUUGCAAUUAUAUAUAUGUUUUGAUAGGGUUUUGGUGCCUUGAAUGUGAGUAAAAAAGACCUAAAUGUUUAUGCAUGAAUUGACAUUAGAAAUGGCUUGAUUUUUAGGCAAAUUUGGGUCAACACGGUCUAAGACACGGGUGUGUGACUCAGCCGUGUGAGACACACGACCGUGUAACCCUUGUUUCCAAAUUUUUGUAACUCUUUCUUAGACUUUCCAAAUGAGUUCAAUUUGCUCCCGAAUCAUUUCUAAGGUAUUUUUAGGGCCUCGAUGGCUCGAUUUAGGGACAGUAUGUAUGUGUAUGAUUGGUUUAUGAUAUGCAUAUUUUAUUGAAUGAAAAUGAAGUUUAAAUGUUCUGUUUGUACGGUAAUGCUCUGUAACACUAAUUUGGUGACGGAUACGGGUUAAGGGUGUUACAUAACUGUUUGACUCACACUGAGCUUUCAUAAGCUCACCCCCAUAGUGUUAACUUUUCAGGUAAACCUCGAAACUAGGACCGGACCCGGUAUACAAAGAAUUACCUUGGACCCUAGACUAUUUAUAAUAAGUAUUAAUUAGUCUUUAUUGGUUUGGUUUGUAAUUUUUAAUUAUUUUUGGUUUGUGGCUUGGUAACUUUUCAUUUGGGGAUUUUUGCAUGCAUGGAUUACUCAAACAUAAUAACCGAAAAAUGCAUGAUAUUAGGCUUAAAUAAAAUUUGACAUUUUUCCCUAAUUUUCAUUGCAUUGCAAAGGAACCAUUUUUGAGAAACAAAUCGAUAAGGCAACUAGGUUUCCAAAAUGACUUGAAAAAUGGUUUUUUCUACUGUAUUAGUUUAACAUUGAGUUUUUAUAAAGAAGAGCGACAAGCAAACGAUUUUUCUAAAACAACACUAUCAAUAAUAAAAUGAAUCUUAAGUACAAUGACCUAAUAAAUGAAUGUUUUAAACUAAAUGAGUUUAUUUAAGGUCUUCAAAAGUAACAUAAGUUAGCUUAGCCAUUUUGGUGGCUAAUGUAGCCUUCUCAAUCUAGCCAUAACGUUUAAGUCGAGUUUGAGAGGUUAUAGUAGAUGGUUGGAGUUCAGGGUCAUUCCAAUUAUGGUGUGUAGCAGUCGGGUAAGACAUUUUCUGUUAAAUCGAAAUUGUAUUGCAUUCAUAAAGCAGGUGCAUACAAUUUUGAGAUUUCUAAGAUGUCAUAUAUAUACUAUUGAAUGAUCUGGAAUAUUGAUAUUUUUAAAUUGCUAUUGUGAGUUAUUCUAUUUGUUGUGUUUCUGUAUGCUUCAUCGUUUGCACUAAUUUUCUUGUGAUGGAACUCACACUUAUCUUCAUAGCUCAUUCCCUUUUUAUUUCCUUCUUUGCAGAUAACCCACGAGGUUAGGAUGCGGAAACGGCAUACGAAAGGCUCGAAAAUGUUUUAUUUAUAAGAAAGUGUUAUUAUUAGGCUUAUUUUUAUAAUUCAUGUUAUUUUGAAUUUGUAUUAUUUUAUUUAUAUUGUGGCAUGUGGUUCACAUUUCUGAUUACUUUGCAUGCAUAUUUUUUAAUUUAAACUUAGGAUAAUGAACUUGGAAUUAGAUUUGAAUAUGCACUAGGUAAUUUCGUUUUAGUUUAAUUAAAACUAAAUUGAAUAUCACUUUUCGUUGUUAGGUUAUAACUGAAUUUUGGGUAAUAAAUAUAUUAGGAAUUAGCUAAGGUUCAAAGGAAAUCACCAUUAUAAGAAAAUGUAUAAUUUAAUCGGUUUUUAUUAACUCAUGAGUUUUUCUGAAAAUUUAACUAAAUUUUCUUCUAAAUUAAACAAAUGUUUUGAUACGAUUGUUUUAUGAACCUCGAUAGCUUACUGGGUUAUUCCAAUGGCUAAUGUAAUCUUUCAAAUUCUGGUACAUAACAUUAUGAACACCACAAGUGAAUAAAUCCAUAAACAAAUCUAACAUCAAUUUUACUUGGGUCCUACCCAAAGGACUUCCAGUCCAAUCAGUAACAUCUAUGUCAUUAUCUUCUGGGAGUCAUCCACUCCGAUGCUCAAGAUAAAGUAUCUCCCCAAUUGGACUUGGUAAACUACAUAUUAGUCUUUCAAAUUGUUUGCUCAUUUUCGAUUAGGCUAAGGAAAUGUUUAGAUUAUCUACUAAUACUAGUAAGAAAAAGAUGAUUGGGUAGAAAAUUUGAAAAGGAUUUUCAAGUAAGGUUUGAAGAGGAAAUUAAGGUUGAUGGUGAACAUUUGAGUAGAAAAGAUAAAAGAAAAAAAAUGAAGAUGGAAGAAAUUUCUGUCUUCCUGUCUACAGUGGACAAUGCAAAUGGAGAAAGAAUAAGUAAAAUUUUGAUUUUUUUCUUUUAUUUGUCAAUAGUAAAAAUUGGUCAAAGGUCAACACAACCCAUGUAUAUUAUCUCCCACUUGUUUGUAAACAUGAUCUAAUGCCUUUUGUUAAUCCCUUCAUCUAGUAUUUCAAAUUUAUAAAUUCUAAUUAUACUGCUUGUAAAAUGACUAAAUUACCCCCUCUAAUGGAAAAAAUGGCACAUAUGUCCACUUUGACAAGUCCAUUCAUCACUUAAGCCCUUCUCUCACUUAACGAGUUAACUAAAUUCUAUUUUCCGAAAAUUUAUUGGACUCUACCCGUAAUAAUACCAAAUAUUUUGGGAUGUUACAUUCUGUCAUUAGCCUCCUUCUCAUCCUUCCAAUUACGUCUUCUCAUUCUUCCAAAAAUUUCACUGAAAAAUAAUUUUUUUAGUCAUAAAUAACUCUCUUUCUAUAUAUUGGUUCUUUUCUAACUAAUUGAAGGUCAAUAAUAAUUAAUUAAAUAAUACUUUUUUAACCAUUAAUUAAAUAAUAAUUUAAUUUACUACCAAAAAAUACUUUAAACAAUAAUCUUAAAAAGUGAAAAAUACAAAUGAGACGAGAACAAUUAAAAAGUAAAUAAUGAAUUUCAUCCGUUUAUUAAAAUUGAGAGAUUAAUUUAGAUGUUGUUCAAAGCAUUAAUUAUGAAGAAUUGAAUUUUGAUAAUUUGUUGCAUAUAAAUGAUUGGAUUGUUGAUUUUUAGGUAAGCAAUUUAACAACAAAGUUUAAUAAUGUUACUUAGGCUAACACAAUAACCAAAUAAUGACUAUCUUCUCAAUUUUUGUAAAUUAAAAGGUUGAAAUUCAAAACUAAACGAAAAUAAAAAGGAAAAGAAAUACUAUAUCUCCAAAGAAAAAAAAGUUACAAAUGAUUUAUUUAUUUUGAUGGUAACCCAUUACAUAAGAGCUGUCUGGCUUCACAAUAUCAUGCAAAGAAGGUGAAAACUAAAACUAUUAGCUCAACAUAAGAACAAUUGGACUACUAUGGCCAAUUUGUAUUGUGUAUAACAGUGUGAUAAAAUAGUUUAAGAGGUGGUGGCCUUCACUGUAUUUCCAAUGUCGAUGACAAACCGGUAUUUAACGUCAGCUUUGAGAAUUCGUUCCAUGGCCGUAUUCACAUACUCCAUAGCUAUAACUUCAAUAUCAGGUUUUACGUUGUGUUUAGCUGCGAAAUCAAUCAUCUCUUGAGUCUCCUUCAUCCCUCCAAUCAAGCUUCCUCUUACGACUUUCCUCCCUACACUCAUUUAAUCGUAACUCGAAUUUAAGAAAUAAAUAGAGAACUAGAGAUCCCAUGUCACUCUUAUGAAAACAUAUUAGCACCAGAUUGUUACAUUGUAGCAAAGGAAACACAGGCAACUCAAGUGGUUUCUCUGGACCGCCAACAAGAACAAGCUUCCCGUGACACUGUAGCAGCCUCAGCAAUGGGAACAGAGGAUGUUUAGCAGACACUGUGUCGAUGAUUCCAUCCAAUGUGCCACUAGCACCCUAUACACCAAUCAAGUAAAGGAUUUAGAAAUUUAUAUAUAAACAUAUACACUCAAAAGAAAGAAUCCCCUCAUAUUAAUAAAAAAUAAAUCAUUUAAACCUGAAGCUGAUCUUGGUCUCGGCUGACAAAAAAGGAAUCAGUACCAAGAUUUUCCAAAGCUUCCUUCUUCUUACUAGGAGAUGUGCUGAUCACAGUAACUUUGGCCCCCAUUGCCUUGGCGAAUUUCACUGCAACAUGUCCCAAUCCACCCAGUCUGACCACACCAACAUGUAAACUAGGCUUAUCGAAUCCAUAAUAUCUCAAUGGACUAUACACUGUAAUCCCAGCACAAAGCGGAGGAGCAGCGACGUCAAGAGGCAGGUUGUCAGGGAUGCGGACGAUAAAAUGUUCAUCAGUAACCACAGUGUCGGAGUAGCCUCCGUAUGUAAUUCUUCCUUCAUGGUACUCGGCCCCAUAGUGUCGGAGUAGUCUCCGCAUGUAAUACUUUCAAAUAGGUUGUGCAUCCACAACUCAGCGACAACUAUUACAUGCAAACAUGUUGUGCAACCUCAGCCAUUGGCAGAUUUUAUCUGCAUUAUUUUGUUGUGUACCCACAACUAUAGGCAGAUUCCAUCUACAGUGUUUUUGCUGUGUAUCCAUAGCCAUAGAAAAAUUCCAUCUGCAUUGUUUUUGUUGUGUGUCCAUAGCCAUUGGCAGUUUAUCUGCAAAUCAUUGGUGGUUAAAGCCACAUCCCGGUGUGUAGGUGGUUGGAGUUUAGGGUCAUUCCUAUUGUGGCGUAUAGUAGUGGGGUAGGACAUUUUGUUAAAUCAAAAUUGUAUUGCAUUUAUAAAGCAUGUGCAUAAAAUUAUGAGAUGUCUAAGAUGUUAUAUAUAUACUAUUGAGUGAUUGGGAAUAUCGAUAUUUUGAAAUUACUAGUGUGAGAUAUUCUAUGUGUUGUGUUUCUGUAUGCAUAAUCUUUUGCACUGAUUUUCUUUUGAUGGAACUCAUACUGAUCUUCAUAGCUCACUUCCUUUUUAUUUUUUUCUUUACAAAUAACCCACUAGGUUAGGACGCAAACACAGCAUACGGAGAGCUCAAAAAUGUUUUAUUUAUAAGAAAGUGUUAUUAUUAGGCCUAUUUUUAUAAUUCAUGUUAUUUCAAAACUGAACUAUUUUAUUUAUAUUAUGGCAUAGGGCUCACAUUUAGGGUUACUUCGCAUCCAUAAAUUUUAAUUUGAAUUUGGAUAAUGAACUUGGAAUUAGAUUCGAUUAUGCACUGAGUAAUUCAGUUUUAGUUUAAUUAAAACUAAAUUGAAUAUCACUUUUCUCUAUUAGGUUAUAAUUGAAUUUUGGGUAAUAAAAAUAUUAGAACUUAGCUAAGUUUCAAAGGAAAUCACCAUUAUAAGAAAAUGCAUAACUUAAUCGGUUUUUAUUAACUUAUGAGGUUUUCUGAAACUUUAACUAAAUUUUCUUUUAAAUUAAACAAAUGUUUUAAUAUGAUUGUUUUAUAAACUCUGAUAACUUACUUGGUCAUCCUGGUGGCUAAUGUAAUCUUCCAUGUUCUGAUAUGUCACACUAUGAAUACCACAAGUGAAAAUCCAUAGACAGAUCUGAGAUCAAUUUUAUUUGGGUCCUACUCGAAUUACUUCCAGACUAGUCAGUAACAUCUAUGUCUCUAUCUUCUCUGAGUCAUCCACACCGAUGCUCAAGAUAAAGUAUCUCCCCAAUUGGACUUGGUAAACGACAUAUUAGUCUUUCAAUUGGUUUGCUCAUUUUUUAUUAAGCUAAGGAAAUAUUUAGAUUAUCUACUAAUACUAGUAAGGAAAAGAUGAUUGGGUAAAAAAUUUGAAGAGGAUUUUCAAGUAAGGUUUGAAGAGGAAAUUAAGGUUGAUGGUGAAAAUAUGAGUAGAAAAGAUGAAAGAAACAAAAAUGGAGGUGGAAGAAAUUUCUCUGUUCCUCUCUACGGUGGACAGUGUAAAUGGAGAAAGAAUAAGCGAAAUUUUGAUUUUUUUCUUUUAUUUGUCAAAAGUAAAAACUGGUCAAAGGUCAACAUAACCCAUGGAUAUUAUCUCCCACUUGUUUCUAAACAUGAUCAAAUGGCUUUUAUUAUUCCCUUCAUCUAGUAUUUCAAAUUUAUAAUUUCUAAUUAUAAUACUAGUAUAAUGACUAAAUUACCACUCUAAUGGAAAAAAUGGCACAUAAGUCCACUUUGACAAAUCCAUUCAUCACCUAAGCCCUUGUCUCACUUAAAAGAGUUAACUAAAUUCUAUUUUCUGGAAAUUUUUUGGAAUCUACCCGUAAUAAUGCCACUUAGGACAUCGAAUAUUUUGGGCUGUUACAUUCUAUUAUUAGCCUCUUUUUCAUCCUUCAAAUUAUUUCUUCUCAUUGUUUCUAAUAUUUCACUCGAAAAUGUUUUUUUUUAGUGAUAAAUAACUCUCUCUAUAUAUAUAGGGUUCUUUUCUAACCAAUUGAAGGUCAAUAAUAAAUAAUUAAAUAAUACUUUUUAAACCAUUAAUUAAAUAAUACUUUAAUUUACUUCCAAAAAUAAAUUACUUCAAACAAUAAUCUUAAAAAAUAAAAUAUACAAAUAAGACGCGAAGGAUUAAAAGGUCAAUAAUGAAUUUCAUACCUUUAUAAAAAUUGAGAGAUUACUUUACAUGUUCAAAGCACACAAUUGAUUUUUGAUAAUUUGUUGCAUAUAAAUGAUUGGAUUGUUGAUUUUGGAGUAAGCAAUUUAACAACAAAGUUUAAUAAUGUUACUUAGGACUAAUACAAUAACCAAAUCAUGACUAUCUUCUCAAUUUUUGGAAAUUAGAAGGUUGAAAUUCAAAAUUAAACGAAAAUAAAAAGGAAAAGAAAUACUAUAUCUCCAAAGAAAAGAAAAGUUACAAAUGAUUUAUUUAUUUUGAUGGUAACCCAUUACAUAAGAGCUGUCUGGCUUCGCAAUAUCAUGCAAAGAAGGUGAAAACUAAAACUAUUAGCUCAACAUAAGAACAAUUGGACUGCUAUUGCCAAUUUGUAUUGUGUAUAACAGUGUGAUAAAAUAGUUUAAGAGGGGGUGGCCUUCAAUGUAUUUCCAAUGUCGAUGACAAAUCGGUACUUAACAUCAGCUUUGAGAAGGCGUUCCAUGGCCGUAUUCACAUACUCCAUAGCUAUAACUUCAAUAUCAGGUUUUACGUUGUGUUUAGCUGCGAAAUCAAUCAUCUCUUGAGUCUCCUUCAUCCCUCCAAUCAAGCUUCCUCCUACGACUUUCCUCCCUACACUCAUUUAAUCGUGACUCGAAUUUAAGAAAUCGACGGAGAACUAGAGAUCCCAUAUCACUCUUAUGAAAACAUAUUAGCAACAGAUUGUUACCUUGUAGCAAAGGAAACACAGGCAACUCAAGUGGUUUCUCUGGAGCGCCAACAAGAACAAGCUUCCCGUGAGACUUCAGCAGCCCAAGCAACGGGAACAGAGGAUGUUGAGCAGACACUGUGUCGAUGAUUCCAUCCAAUGUGCCACUAGCACCCUAUACACCGAUCGAGUAAAGGAUUUAGAAAUUUAUAUAUAAACAUAUACACUCAAAAGAAAGAAUCCCCUCAUUAUUAAUAAAAAAUAAAUCAUUGAAACCUGAAGCUGAUCUUGGUCUCGGCUGACCAAAAAGGAAUCAGCAACAAGAUGUUCCAAAGCUUCCUUCUUCUUACUAGGAGAUGUGCUGAUCACAGUAACUUUGGCCCCCAUUGCCUUGGCGAAUUUCACUGCAACAUGUCCCAAUCCACCCAAUCCAACCACACCAACAUGCAAACCAGGCUUAUCGAGUCCAUAAUAUCUCAAUGGACUAUACACUGUAAUCCCAGCACAAAGCAGAGGAGCAGCGACGUCAAGAGGCAGGUUGUCAGGGAUGCGGACGAUAAAAUGUUCAUCAGCAACCAUAGUGUCGGAGUAGCCUCCGUAUGUAAUACUUCCAUCGUGGUACUCGGCCCCAUAGGUAAGUAUAGAUUUGGGGCAGUAAUUCUCAAGAUUGUUUUUGCAGCUAUCGCAGGAAUGGCAUGAUCCUACCACGCACCCAACUCCAACUCGGUCUCCAACGUUGAACUUUUGGACCUUACUUCCCACCUCCGUCACUUCACCAACAAUCUCAUGCCUGCAUCCAAUAUAUAUUGUUUAGGUUGACCAGUUAACUCUGAUUCAUAUAUAGUUGCAUAUGUCAAGUUUCUGUCAUUAAAUAUGCAGCAUCAAACGUAUGAAUGAGAAACAUACCCAGGGACGAGAGGGUAGACAGACAUGCCCCAUUCAUUCUUGGCCAUAUGAAGAUCGGAAUGGCAUAUCCCACAAUAAAGCACCUUGAAAGCCACAUCCUUUUCUCCUGUUGCCCUGCAAGUGCAAACCCCAUGUCAGUCACGGACCCUUUUGAAGAAGACCAAACAUGGGAACCUAUUCAGUGAUAAAAUACCUUCUGGAAAAUUUGAAGGGAGACAAGACACCGGAACUGUCUCUAGCUGCCCAUCCAAAGGCCUUGUUGGGGUGCUCUUCUUCUGCCAAUCUUGUCAUUGUUGGAUUCAUAUAAUUAUUUCAACUCUUUCAAAGCAAAGCAAAGGAAAUGGGUGUUCAAAACCUGAUACCUGGUGCUGUGUCGCAUGGUGUCUAUGAGAAGAUGGGUAUUUAUAGCGCAGGAUUUAGCGGCUAUGCUGAGGUAUGAGUGACCCGAACAAUGAUCUAUGCUCAAACGCAAACUACCCAAAAGUCAAUAUUAUACUACCCGACUCUGCACUUUUAUGGAUGGAGACGUCAAGGAUGUCCUAUUAAAUAAAAUUCAAUGCAGAAAAGUAAUAAAUUUAUUUAUUUAAAAAAUUACCAUUAUGUUUUAAUUUUAUUAAUAUUUGCCUUUGUAUUUCUGAAUUUGAACUAAAAAAUUUUACUUUAAUUUUAUAUUAAAUUUUGAUACUUCACUUAUGCUUGAUUGUUUUUAUUAAAUUUUACUAUUUGAUUUUAAUUUUAAAUAACUUGAAAACAAAUUUAAUUAAAAUAUUUUUAGUAUUUUAUUUUAAUAAUUAAUAAUAAUAAAGAAAUUAAUAUGAUGUUAACAUCAAUAAUAACUAUAACUAUAAAAAUAAAUGUAAUUUUUAUUUUUCAUGUUUUUUAAUUUCUCAAGUAAUUUUUUUAUUUAAAUAAAGAAGAAACUUGAAAUUUGACCAAUAUUCACUCUUUCAUCUAGUCUUAAAAUGUGUACCAUGCUACUAGGAUGGGAUGCUCUCACCCGGUUCGUCAUCGUACUUUGGGAGAUCAUCCUCCAUGUCAUCAACAAUUCAUGGGUUUGGUUUUCUUCUUUUCUUUUCUUUUCUUUUUAAAAUUACACCUCCAUUUUUGAAUUGUUUGAAUUUAAAUUUGUAAAAUAAUUUAUAUAUCUAAAUCCAUAUAUUUGUACUAUAUAAUCGAAAUAAUAUUAUAGAAAUUCGAAUUUAACCAAAAAUAUUAUUUAAUCAAAUACUAUUAAAUAAUAUCAUACACUGAUAAUAUUCUUUUGUUAAAUUCUUUGGCGUGACUUUUCAGUAUAAAAAAAUUACUUCUUUCGUAACCAUGUAAAAAAAACUCGACGUUAUAACAAACCUAACUUCAACAUAAAAUUUUAAAUGUUAAAAAUUAGACCUAAAUUAUGAAAUUAAAAAAAAAAUAGAGCGACUAAAUUGCUUGAAAUAAAAGUAAAUGACUAAAUCUUAAAUGCAGAAACAACAUAGUGACUUGGAGCAUAUUUUAAUUUAGGAAAAACUACAUAGAUAGUCACCCAAGUUAAAAAAAAUUCAUUUUAGGCACCCAAAAUAAAAAGUUUGCAAUUUAAGCAUACACAUUACACUAUUUCAUCAUUUUGGUCACUCCCGUUAAAAUCACUAACGGAAAACUGACAUGUCAAUUAAAAAAUUGGUAUAAUAACAAAUUUAGCACUCAACUUUUACAUAUUAUAUCGGUUUAGUCAUAAUUUUAAAAAAUUAACCCUCAAAAUUUACAAAUGUUCUCAAUUUGAUCAUAAUUCUAAAGAAUUCAAAAUAUAUAUAUAAAUACAUAAAUCCAAAAAAUAUAAUAAUAAAUUUAAAAUAUAUAAAAAUAUAAAUAUUGUAGACAAGAAGUAAAAUAUAUAAAAUUUAAAAAUAUAUAAAAUAAAUAAUAUUUUCUUAAAAUAUAAUAAGAAAUGUAAAUCUUACAUUAAUAUAAUAUUAAAUAAAUAUAAUACAUUAAUAUUAAAUAAAAUGAAAAUCUCCUCACCCCGUCCCUCUUCUUCCCUCUCUCCCCCACCAUCCCCCCUUCUACCCCUCAUUGCCCUCUCCCUCUGCCCCACCCCCACUGCUCCCCCUCUCCCUUCCAAAACCCAUAGGAUUAUAAGCGGAGUACAAUAUUCUUCUGUUGCAACAAAACCCAAGUAGUUGUACAUGUGGCCUUCUUUUUCUAAGCUAAAUGACAUACUUAUCAUUCAUAUGCAUGACACAUGAUCCUCUUAUUCUCCUCUUUUCUCUUCAAAUUUCUUUCUUUCUUCCUUUGUGUGCCGCCGCCCAAGCCAUCGAGAUUGACCAUCUAUUUCUCUUCUUCUUGAAACAGGUUUUUGCACUAUUAUUUUCCUUUUCUUGCUGUCACUUUGUCAUAAAAUUUCCAGCCCUAAAUCUAAAAUUUUAGCACUCAAGAUUGGCCUCCAUCGAUGCCCCAAAACAACUUCAUUGCCACCCCUUUCACCUAACUUGUGUAAGUUCUUAUUUUCUUUUUAUUUCUUGUUAAAUCUUGUUAAUUAAAAACCUAAAUUUUUAGAUCUAGAAUUUAGGGGAUUUUUAAAGAUUUAAUAGGUAUUUUUCCAGCUUUUUAAUUGAUCUCAAAAGUGGUUUUAAAUUAGCCCCAAAUUGGUCACCACGAGUGGUAGUGCGCGUGCCUAUGGGUAAGAAUGGGGUUGUUUUUAUUUAAUUCUUUCCCAUAUUUUUCCAACAUUAUUUUGGGUUCUUGACACCCUCCUAAUUAGCCUUUAAUCACAUGUUAAUUAGAGAAAUUCGUUCUUUAUCGAUCGACAAUUCAGAUCUAACAAUUUGGGAAACGUAAAUGUGGUUAAUCGUAAACUAGUUUGUUGUUUCGACAUAGAUUUUGGGAAAAGGUUAUGGCUUGAUUAAAUAAAGGAUUUUAAUUAAGAUUAGCUACUGACUUUCCAGUAUUUAAAUAUGUUAGGUGUUGACUCGAACGCUCCAAAUCAACAGUAAAGCCGAAAGACGUUCACGCGUACGAUUCACAUCAAACAGUGUAAGAAAUCUAUCUAGUUUGGAUUCAAAAAAUAAGAGUAUUUGUGACGAUUGGACCGAACCCAUAAGCGGGUGUUUAGG
rnacentral:lncRNA from 1 species